UUUAUACUACUUCAGAUACCUCGCAGGUAAGCUUGGAACAGAAGAAAUCAAAGAAGUGCGAUAUUAAGGAGUUUCAUUACCAUCAUCCUUUUAUGGAUAAAAUGCUCAAGUGCUUAAUCAAUUAUGCUUUCUGGUAUUUUCUGUAUAAUUGCUUUGAUUUUCACCAAAUUUUUAUUGAUCCUGGUUAAUUCAUUGUUUACAUUAAGUAGUUAGUUAGUAGGAUUUUUUUUAUUUUGUUUUUUUUUAUUUUCUUAUUUAUAUUUCUUGUAACGUGUUAUUUUUAAUUGUCAUUUAGUUUUAAGCUUUCCCAGCCCAUCCAGGUGUGUUCUAUCCAAUUUUCUUUUUUAUUAUUUAUGUUUUUAUUUUUAUUUUUUUAUUUUAUUUUUCAUCUUUUUGCAUGCAUAUCUUUUGUUUUUGAAACAUUGAGGACAAUGUUCCGAAUAAGUUUGGGGGUGGGAAUAGUGUGUUCUUUGUUUGGUUGUUAUUAAAAAAAUAAAAUAAAAUAAAAAAAUUUCAAAAAUUCAAAAAUUCAAAAAAUGUUUUUUUGUUUUUAUGUGAAAAGCCAAUGAUAAAAACUUGAUUGAUAAUGAAUAUGGUUUUUAGAAAGGGUUGAAUAUUGUCUUAGUUUAUACUUGAUUCUUGUGAGUUCCUCUUGAUUGAGAUUCUUUACACAUCAUGAGCACUAAUAUCAGUUCUUUCAUGAUUUUCACUUGAAAUUUGAGAUUGACACAGCCUGAGUUGAGAAUUUUAGAUAGAGUAAAUGACUGUUUGUCUUGAUUCUUAUCUCCACAAUACAAAAUAGCAUACGCAGGUGCCAGAGUCAGAAAUAACCACCUAUAACUCUUAAGAGUGAAGCUAUCCUUGAGUAAUUUGGGCCUAUGUACCACAAGUAUGUAGAGGAUAAUCUACCAUGAGAAGAAGGCUACCUUAAGGGGUAGAGUGAAAGCUCCUAACUAUGGUUAAAAAGAAAAAAGAAAAAAAAAAUCAAGUGCAUGUGCUGAAAAAAAAAAUCAAAAGAAAAUGCACAUAAAAGCAUGUGAAAAAAAAAAUGGAGAUUAAGAUGAUAAGAUCUGUUUGACCUACUCUUUUCUUUGUUUGAGGCGAAGGCUGUUGAUAUUGAAGAUUUUGGGAAUGAAUUUGAUUGAAUUGAUUUCACACACAUACUACAAGAAUCGAAAGAGAGAUGGGAUUGAUUAUUGAAUUAAAGUUAGAACUUUGCCAAUAUUUGAAAUUUUCUUUGAGCUAUAUAAUUUUUGCAAUCUUUAAGGCUAUUUUUCAUGUUUUAUUUAAAGUUUUUUGUUCUUUUAAUUUAAUUUAAUUUUUUUAAAAUGAUGUUUGUGGGUAUCAUCACUGAAGCCCUCACGAGACUAUAACUCGUCCACUGAGGCCGCCUAGGGGUUUAAAGGUUUGUUGCAUACAAUAAAUGCAAUCGCAAUCACCUACGAAAGUGGUUUAGUUAGGAUUUACUUUUUGUUUUGUUAGUUUUAUUUUUGUUUUAAGUUUUAGUUUUGCUCGAGGACUAGCAAAAUCUAAGUUUGAGGGUAUUUAAUGAGCAUAAUUUAUAUACAUAUUUUACUGUUUAUUAUCUAAUUACUAGUUAUUUUUAUUUGUUAUUUUUUAAUUAAUUGAAUUAUUUUAUUGCAUAGGAAAUUAAUUGGAGAUUGGAAAUAAAAAGUGCAAAAAGAAUAACAAUUUGGGAGAAUAUUAAUUGAAGCCGUGACAGAGUUAAGAGCCAAGAGCAAUUUGCAUUGAAUUUCAAUUCUCCAAUUGAGUUGCACGUGCAUGGCAUUGCAAAAGUGGAAAGAAAUUUAAAUGGGGCCCGCACUUGACUUUCAAAAGUAGAAUUAAUGGCUUAUUGUUGCGUUAUUAUGGAAGCUUUGUUUUAUAAUUGGAAAAGGAUUUUAAUUAGUAGACAAAGAGGAUUCGGUGGCUAAGCAUUAUAAAAAGAGAGUUUUGGCUUUUGAAUGGGGGGGCCGCCAGAGGACAAAAACAAAGGUGCAGACGCAAGGUUGGAAGAGAGCAUUCGGCAGCAGCAGCAAUUCGCCUUCCAUGACUGAUUUUAUUUCUUGUGUUGCUCUCAAUUUAAGUAUGUCUAGUUAAUUUUUUUAUACUGAAGUUAAGGAUGAAACCCUAUUCAAUGAAAUAAUUAUUUUUUUAAUUCCCUAUAUAUGUUCUUUAAUAAUUAUAAUUUUUAUUUCACAUGAUUAAUUAGAUGUUAUUAAAAUUUUUUCAUCAAUUAUUAUUAAAAUCUUUUCAUUAAUUCUGUCAUACAUUAUUGAUUGUUAGGAUUAAUAUUUGAUUAAAUCUAUACUUGGAUUUAUAAAGUUUAUACAUGAUUAUCUUUGAUUCUAUGUCUUUUAUUAAAUUGUUUACAUGGAGUGCUUAGGAAAUUUUGACUCUUUGUUAUUCAAUAUGUUUACAUGAGCUUCUUAGAAGUCAUACUAUUAAGCAGAAAAAGAACCUACACAAAAUUAAUUUUAUUUGGGGUUAAUUGUUAUAUCUAUGAGAUGACAUAGAUUGAUUUCGAGUUGUCACUCUAAAAUUGGGGAUUAAUUAAUAAUUAGAUAAUUACUAGUUGAAUAGUGGUGGAUUCUAAAACCUUGGUAAUUUUCGUCUUGUUGAAAUUUCAUUUACUUUAAUUGUUUUCUUAGCUUAAUUAGUUUAAUUUCUCUUAAAACUCAAUUUGCUCAACUAGGUUAGAAUUAAUAUUAAUUUUAGAUUUAAAUUAGACUUUUCAAUUUAUAACAAUCCCUGUGGGAUCGACCUCGUUACCACUAUUCUAUCUCUAGAUUUGUGCGCUUGCGAGUAUAUUAAAAUUUUCACAACAGUCUGUGACAUAAUAAAAUUGGUUGAAUUAAAUAUCUCUUGGCCCACAUGAUUUAUUUUUAUUAUUUUUUAUUUUCAUUCAACCAAUGAAUUAAUACCGCAUCCAUUUGUACAAGAGUUUGUGGCUAUAUCAUCACUCUAAUUAAAUAAUAUUACAAAAUACUAUUUGCUUAAAGGCUUAGAUGGGGAUGAUGGAUGAGAAAUCUCACCCUCUAAAUACCAAUUUUUCUUCCUAUUAUUCAAAUUUAGGUGACCACAGGUCUAUAUUUACAAGCAGCCAAGCUACACCCAAGAGGCUAAUUAAUCUUUUCCUUAAACUCAACUUUUGAAAUUAGUUACCAAUUUCUACUUUCUUGAAUCAUUUUACUUGGUGUUUUAUCAUAUCUUACGAUGCAGUAUCGCCGCUAUAUCUUUUCCCAAAGUUUAAUUUAAUGGAGGAAAUCUGAGAGAUAGAUUCUUCAAAUCUAAUAUUUAUGACAUUAAGCUUUUAAAUUCAAUAUAAAAUCAAAAUUCGCAGUCACCUAUUCUCCACACAAAGCAAAGAAAAAUUUCUAGAGCAAUUUACUUGCUCCAUCUUUUCCCCAGAAUACACAAAAUUCUAUCAAAGAUUUACAAAAUAGACAUGGCAUAAGAACUUCUGUCAUUUGCUCUACCAAAUUUGACAUUUAUCACUAAAGAUUAAUGUGCCUUACAAGGAGCAAAAUCCAUCGAUCUCAAGAAACAUCCCAAUAUUGAGAGAAACAAUAAAUUUAUUUGAGUAAUCGUGCCAUCAUCGACUUAGCGAUAUACCAGAUUCACUUCCAUGGAAAGUCUGUCAAAUUUUGUAGUUGAUUCUCUUCGCUGUCAUCCAGGCCUUUGGAAAUGAAUCAAACGGUGGCUGGGAUUCCAAUGUUUUGACUACAAUGCUGCUCUACUGGGAGCUUGCAUUGUCAACUUUUUUAAUUAUAGCAUGUGUAUAUUUGACUUUAAGUUUUGUGUUUAGAGCAUAUAACAAUCCAUAGGUUGUGAGUCAGAUGUAUAUGUUGUUUGCUUGUGUCAAUACAUACUUAUUUUGAAUGAAAGAGUUGUUAAUUGUUAAUUAUAUUUCUUCUCUCUUGUUUUUUUUUUUUUGUCAUUUUUCCGAUUAAUUUCUUACUAUGUUAAAUGAAAAUAAGGUUUCUUUGAUAUUAAUGUGGAAGUAGGAAUUCUUGAAUAAUUUAUUUGUGAAAUGUUAAUUUUUCAAUUUAUUUUGUUACUUGUAAAGUUAGGAGGUGCGUAAAUGAUAAACUAAUUUUUUAGCCCUUUACCUAAUUAGAAUUUAAAUAAGCAACUUUUGAAUCCUUCACAUACACAUUUAUGUCCUUUUAUAUAAUUCAAAUUUCAGUAAAAGUGUCAAAAGUUUUUUUUUUUUUUGGGUUAAAUUUCACAUCCCAUCCUGUACAUAAACACCAAUUAGAUAAAUUUCUUUUCCAUAAGCCGCAUCUAGUUGACUACAUCACCGAGCCAUUGACCAUGCUAAGAUGUUGACCGGUCAACAAUUGACCAUUGACUUUGAGAGUCAACUUUCACAAAAAAAUUUAAUUUUUUGCUCUAAAUCUCUCCUAAAGUUUUUGAUGUUAUGGAUCUAUACGUGCAUUCAUAAUCUCCAAAUUCUCACUUAAUUUGUGAGUUAUGGAAUGUGUUGUUCCAUGAUCCACAAUUAAAGGGAUCAAAAUGGAGUAUCAAAAUGAUGGCUCUAUUAGGUGCACGUGAUGUAUAGGUGCACGUGAUGUAUGUGAAGUUGUAGAGAAAUGUUUUACUGUACUAGAAGAUGAAGUUACUUUAAUUGCGACACAAAAGAAGAAUUUGAAAGACUUGAAAAUGAAAGAGAAGAAAGAAAAAUAUUUCAUCUUUCAAACAUUAAAUAAAGAUGCUUUUGAACAGAUUUUUCAACGCUACCUCCUUAAAAAAAGUAUGGGAUAAGUUACAGACCUCUUACAAAGGAGAUGAAUAAGUUAAGAAAGUUCAUCUCCAAAUAUUAAAAAAAGAAUUUGAAUCUUUUCAUAUGAAGGUAUCUAAAUCUAUUUCGGAUUAUUUUACCCAAGUUGUGAUUGUUGCUAUGAAACGAUGAGCAACUUCAAGAAAGGUUGCAAGCCUACAAAAAAUAUAUGAAAGAAGAAGCAUGGGAUUGAAGAACAACUCCUCAAGAUGGAAAUCAAUUCGAAGAAGAGAGAAGAAAGCUCCGUCAACAGGAAAAACCAAUAUGUCCAAGUUAGAGGCUAAGGAUAAGGUAGAGGUUGUGGUCAAGGACUAGACAGGAAUUUCAACACCAAUAACUCUAGUUAUGAAAGAGGAGAAUGCUCAAUCAGAAUAUGAGGAAGAGGCAACCCAAGAUUGAGGUAUGACAAAUCCUAAGUAUAGUGCUACAAUUGCUAAAAGUUUGGCCAUUAUGCUUUUGAAUGUUAAGACUCCCAAUAAUAAAGUUGAGGAGAAGAACAAUUAUAUGGAAGAGAAGACUGAAGAGAAUAAAACAAUACUACUAGCAUACUAGGACAAUUAUAGAGGUCACAAGUGCCUAGUAUCUUGAUACUAGUGCGAGCAAUCAUAAAUAUGGAAGAAAAAAUGUGUUCAUGGAGCUAGAUGAAUCAUUAAAUAGCAAUGUAUCAUUCAGAGAUGAUUCCAAAGAAUAGUGAAAAGGAGAGAUAAAAGCCUUAAUUGUUUAAAAAAAAUGGAAGACAUCAAUUUAUUUAAAAUGUUUACUCUACGCCCAAUAUAAAAAGAAACAUCUUGAGCUUAGGUCAACUCUUACAAAAAGGCUAUAAUAUUCACAUGAAAGAUCAUAGUCCUUUUAUAAGAGAUGACAAAAGAAACUUAAUUAUGAAGGUGAAAAUGUCAAAAAAUAGAAUGUUCUCUUUGAAUAUUCAAAAAGAUGAUGUAAAGUGUUUAAAGACUUGUUACGAGGAUGCAUAUGACUUUGGCAUCUUCAAUUUCGGUAUCUCAAUUUUAGAGGAUUGGAGUUACUAUCUAAGAAGAAUAAUAGAAUAUGGUGAAAGUCUUACCAUGUAUUAAUAACCCUGAUCAACUUUGCGAAGGAUGCUUAGUAGAAAAAUAAUUUAAAGAAAGCUUUCAAAAAGAGUCAAACUUAAGGGCAAAAAGGGCGCUCGAGUUUAUUCACUCAAAUAUUUUUGUUCCAAUCAAGCCAAGCUCCCUUGGUAAAAAUAGACACUUCUUUCUCUUCAUAGAUGGUUUUCCAAGAAAAGCUUAGGUAUACUUUUGAGGUAAAAGUCAUAAGUUUUGAAACUUUCAAGAAGUUCAAAACUGUAAUGGAGAAAGAAAGUGGAUACCUAAUUAAAGCCAUAAGAUCUAUCGAGGAGGAGGAUUCACUUCUAAAGAAUUUCAAGGCUUUGUGAAGCAAAUGAAAUUCAACGUCCUUUGACUAUUCCACCACCCCCCAAUAAAGUGGUAUCCCAUAAAGAAAGAAUAGAACCAUUCUCAACAUAUGCAAGAAAUAUGAUGAAAAAUAAGAGACUGCCUAAAUAAUUAUGGGCUAAAGCUGUUACUUGUGCGGUCUACCUAUCUAACAGAUCUUCAACAAGUCUAUGAGACAAUACACCAUAAGAAGCAUAAAAUGGCAUAAGUCAAGCAUCUUCCACUUAAGAGUUUUUAGAAGCAUAGUUCAUGUACAUGUAUCAUACGAGCAAAGAACCAAAUUGGAUGACAAAAGCGAGAAGUUCAUCUUUAUCGACUAUGACAAUAAUUCCAAAGGAUACAAAUUGUAUAGUCCAAACAUAGGAAGAUCAUAAUUAGUGGAGAUGUAAUUUUUUAUUAAAAAAAAUGAGAAUGGGGUUUUAGCUCUCACGUAGAUGGUGUUAUCUUUUUUUUUUUUUUCUCUCUUCAAGAAAACGAACAGAUAAUAGAGGAGCAAGUAGGAGAACAAGAUCAAGAACCCGUUGUUUCACCUACCUCUCCAGUAUCAACCACUCAUGAAGAUCACCACCAUUAUUUUUGGAGGAAAGAGAUGUGACACACACAAGCAUAAACUAUGAUGAGGUGCUUGAUCUUGUUGCCCGAUUGGAAACUAUAAGACUAAUCAUUUCAUUAGCAGCCCAAAAGAAGUGAAAGAUUUUGCAAAUAGAUGUGAAGUCAAUUUUCUUGAAUGGUAGUAACGAGACAUGGCAUCUUUAAAACAAGUUACAGUCAAUUAGAGGGUAUGUGAUCUGAUUAUUGUCAGUAGUAGUAGCAAGAAUAUAAUUUCCAAGAUCAUGGUUGACGAGCUUCUCAUUAAUAAUAUUUAGUAUUUUCUCAAUUGAGACAUUUUUCUCCUUUGUGAGAGCCCUCUUCUUGAGUUUUUAAGAACGUACAGUAGAAUAACAUCUAGUAUCGUUUUCGCGUUGCAUCACCAUCUAUCAUCCUUAAUUCAGGUCCUUCUUCUCACUCAUCAUGAGUCAAUCUUAAUCUUUAGAAAUCACAAUAAACUAUAAUGGAAAUACAAAGCUCAAUAUGUAAACUAUUUUUUCAUAGACCAAAAUACAAACAUAUUUAUAUGUACUGUAAAAGUAUGAUAUGCAAUGCUCUUGGUAAAAAAGAAUUAUUCAAAACUUUGGGUUACUUUCAAACUUUCACACUUCCUUUCAAUGCAUGAUAUGCAAGUCCCUUUGAAAUUAGUCACUUGAAUCGUUUUACAUGAUAUUCUACCCAUAGCUUACAGGCGGAGCAUCAGCACCAGAUAUUUUCCAAAUUAAAUUGUAGGAAAUCUAAGAAGAUAUCACACUUUUAUUAAUUUAAAUUCAAGUUCACUGUCAUUCACUUUCAAAAACCAAAAGACCCUUCACUUUCAACUCUUUACUUGCUUCCUUUUUCUUCCAAUUUUUCUCUUUCUGAAUGGAUUUUCUACAAGUAAAAUUUUCUUUCUCUUCUCUAGAAUGCAAAAAAGUAUAGCGAAGUUUUAAAAAAUGGACAUGGCGGAAAAUUAUUGUCAUUUGCUUCAGCAAAUUUCACAUUUAUUAGUAAAGAUAAGUGCGCCUUCAGUAGAACAUAAAACCCAUUAAUGUCAAGAAUCCAAUAUUUGAGAGUAGCAAUAUAAUUUAUUUGAAAUAAAGGAUGACAUGGACAAACUUGAACCAAACUUAGCAUCAUAGCUUAUGUUCAUUUAUUAUUUAUCUUGUUUUGAAUAGAAAAGAGUUGUUUAUCAAUUAUAUUUCUUUUAUCUUGUUUCUAUGUAAUUUUUCCAAAUAUUUCUUAAGAUGUUAAAACAAAAUUAAAAUUUCCUAAGUUAUUAAUAGGAAAGUACGUAGGAGGACUCGAGUAAUUUCUUUGCGUACAUAUUUUUGCAUAUGCCAAAUUGCAGCAACUAGUGAUCGGUCAUUCUGUUGUGCGCGGAAUGCGGAAUCAAGAGCACCAAACAAUUACAGAAAAAUAAAGGACACAAGAAUUACGUGGUUCGGUAGUUAAACCUACAUCCACGAAGGCAAGAAAGAAUAAUUGUUUAUUUAACAAUUAAUAGAGUACAAAUAUUUGAUUAACGAAUCUCACUUCCCAGAAACCCAAAUAUACCCAAUACUCUCACACUCUGCAAGAAAGAUAAAUUCCCUAGACACACUUCUCUCACUUCUCUCAAAAGCUUAGAAAUUUAUAAGCUUAACAAUUUUGGGAUGAUUUUAAAUGAAUGAAAUCCUGAACUAUUUAUAGGAGAAAUGAAUUACUAUGCAAAGAAUAAAAUAAUUAAAAAUAUAAUUUUUAAUUAUUAUUAUUUUUCAAAUUCAUCCCCUUUGUCAAUUCUUUCUUUUCGGCUACAAAAUCAAUUUUGAUUUUGCUUCUCUACAAUUGUUGGUGCAACCAACAAUUUGUUGACUUCAACACAUUCUUGGUUUUUUUUUUUUUUUUUUUUCCACAAGCAAAGUAACAUGAAUAGACCUGGAGUAAACAAAAUGAUAGUUAGUUAGGGAGAGAUAAUGAACUUCACCCCUUGAAGAAUUAUAUAUUCAACUAAAGCCAAAACAAAAAGAGAAAUUGGUUUCACAUGGAUUCGUUGAUCAUUUUGCGCAAACUCAUUGAAAUUUAUCCAAUUUUAAUACUUCUUGUUACUUGUUGUGUAAGAGCAUGUAUAACGUAUUUAAUAUCUUUGGUGAUCAUUUUGGACAAACUCAUUAAUUAAUUUUAGUCAUUCUUGUUACUUGUUAAUUGUUAUAUAAGAACAUAUGUAAUAUAUUUGGUGUAGGUAAUGAAAAUUAUUAGAUAUAUGCUUUUAUUAUAUAUAAUAAGUAACAAGAAUUAUUAAAAUGAAAUAAAUUUCAAUAAAGAGAAAGGUUUAUAUAAGACAGCCCCCUAAUGUUUUGUCAUCUGACAGUGUAGUGUGUCCCAUAUUAAAUUAAUUAAAUAUAAUAGAUCUUGUUGCGAUCUUUUUGCGAAAAAAGAAUUCUCAAGAGCUCAUCAUAUAUAGUUCCUAAAAAAUUACUAUAUUUGAUAGAUAAGCGUGUCCUAAUUAAGAAAAGAUUUGUAGGAUCAAAUUAAUAAAUAGAGCCACGAUCCUCUUCGCAAUCUAUCGACCAGCUGCAAUCGAGCAGUUUAGAUUUUAAUCACAGCCAUGAUCUCUUCAAGGCUCCUAUGCUGCCUAACAGCGUUACUGAUUCUCCCCUCAUCAUCAAAUGCAGCUGAUCCCGAUCCUCUACAAGACAUCUGUAUCGCAGAUUUGGAUGCCAAAAUCUCUGUGAAUGGCUUCCCUUGCAAAUCUGAAACUGAAGUAACUUCCGAUGAUUUUUUCUUCGAUUUGUCCGAAGAAGGAAACUUGUCAAAUGCCUUCGGACGUGCAGUAACUGAAGGCAAUGUUCAUGAAUUUCCAGGGGUCAACACUCAAGGAAUUUCAACAAAUCGAGUUGACCUUGCUGUUGGUGGAAUCAACCCUCCUCAUUUACAUCCUCGCUCAAGCGAGUCAAGUAUUGUCAUUAGAGGAACAGUGCUCGUAGGAAUCAUAACAACUGACAAUGUGUUUUACUCAAAGGUUGUGACAGCCGGGAUGCUGUUUCUAAUUCCUAGAGGACUGGUUCACUUCCAGCUAAAUGUCGGAAAAGAAAAUGUUCUUUUCUUCCCUUCUUUCAACAGCCAAUUACCUGGCACUCAGUUCGUGCACUCAAGUCUGUUUAAUACAACACCGCCAAUUCCUAAUGAAGUGUUAACCAAAACUUUCCUGGUAGGCGAUGAGGUGAUUAAUGCCAUUAAAGCAGCCAUCACAUCAGCCCAGUUAGGACAUCGGCCCAAAUAGAUUAACGUUCACAAUAAUGCUUGGUCGGGGAAGUUAUUUACUUAAUUAUUUAUAUUGAUUUGAAUAAAAGGAUUGUUUUCUAAUAAGAAUAAUGAUUGGGUUAUAAAGUUUGUAUUCUAACUUGUGUGUCGCCUUGUUUGAUAAGAAUAAUGAUAGGCUUUAUCUUAUAGAGCCGUAUAAUGAUUAGUUACUUAGCCUUAUCCGUGAUUCUAUUUGUAUAUUUCCACAUCUAUUUGUAUUCCAACUUUGUAAGUGUAUCACUGAUCUUCUAUCUGUAUUCUUCUUUUUCAUUUCUUUGUAAUUUCAUCUAUCUUUAAAAGUUUAUGCCAACUUGAUAUUGCUGUAAUUUUUAAAAUAAUUAGUUAUGAAUAGAUUCAAUAAUUUAUUUUUGUAUCAGUCAGAUUCAAUACCAUGGCCCCUAAGCACCUAUUCAAGCCCAUUAAACAUACACUACUCAUAAUCAUCAUUAUUCUUAGAGCUUAAAGAGUAAUGAUAUUUGAACCAAAGGAUUCUACAUAAUGGCGACAAACAAUUGUAAAAUCACAUGGUGUUAUGAUGUUAAGCAAAUAAUUAACAUUGUUUUUCAAUUAAAACUAUAAAACCGUAUAAUUCUAGCAUUGAUUUUUUUUCUCAUUAUGUCACCAUUAGGGCUUUUAUUACUUUUAGAACUUAAAACUAUUCCAAAUUCACUAAAUAAUCAAUCUUUUUUUCUGCAUUAGCUUAUGAAACGAUGGACGAUGGACGAGAUUCAAUUGUUCCCAUUACAAAAGCUGCUCUGGUGGCAGCUGCAUUACCAGAUUUUGAGCUAAACUUCAAACUUAUGUACUAGAUGAUUUUAAUUUGAUGCAAUACAUAUUUUUACUUCUAAUUUAGUUGUAAGAUGUAAUUAGAUGUGAGUUGGGUUGUUGGGUUAAGUUGAAUAUCUAGGAGUGAUGUAAUUAGAUGUGAGUUGGGUUAAGUUGAAUAUCUAGGAGUGUGUGUGUGUGUGUGUAUGUGUUGUAUUUUGAAUUAUUUUCAAGUUUAUUGUUCUAAGGAAGACAUGGACAAAUUUAAACAAACCGUUAGCAUCAUCGCUUAUGUCCAUUUACUUAUUUCUCCUGUUUUGAAUAAAUUAAAAGAGUUAUUCACUUGUUUGUUAAUUAUAUUUCUCCUUUCUUAUUUCUGAGUCAUUUUUCUGAAUAAUUUCUUCAUAUGUUUAAAUAAAAUUAACAUUCCCUAAGAUACUAAUGGAAAAGAUGUCUUGGAUAAUUCGUUUGCGAAUACAUUUAUCCAUUAGAUACAUAUUACAAAUUGCGGCAAAUAGUUAUCUUUCUUUCUUUCUUUUUUAUUUUCUGCUGUACCGUACAUCCGCCUUGGCCGUACAGCAGUGUUUUUAUAACUUAAUUUGAAUUUUUAAAUAAUUUUGACUUAAUUAAAAAAGUUAAUUUUUUUUUGGGUUUUUAUGACUGGAGAAGUUUGAAUCAGCCAAUUGAUUUCUAAUAUUAAAAAUAUCUCUAAUUUAUUAUUUAUUUUUCAUGCUUAUCCUAAAACACACCCAUACAUGUUUAUCUACUAAUAAUCUCAUCUUUAUUUUUUCCAGCUGCUAUGAAAUCCCUCCCUACUUUACUUCUCUCAUCAAGUUCUUGAAUUUCUCAUUAUCGUUAAUAAAAGAUUUUAUUCUUAAAAUUUUUAUGUAAUUAUAUAAUCAGUUUUUAUUAAAAAAGAAAUUUAUAUGUUAUAAUUUCAAAAUAAUUAUAUAUAUAAAGCUUAGGAAAAGGAUACAAAACUCUCUAAUGUCUCAAAAAAGACUUUUAAACUCUAAAUUAUUAAUGGAUUCAAUUUUUUUAAAUAAUUUAAAGGUUAAUAUGAUACAUUCCAUAAUUAAUAAUGGGUGAUGAUAGUUGAUGAAGAAGAAGAAGAUGACAUUGAAUAAGAUGAGCAAUUAGGAAAAAGGAGAUAAUAAACUGAAUUUCAACAGUAAAAUUCCAACCAUUAUAAAUAAGGGUGUGUUUCUAAUUCUAUUAAUAAUUUAUGGGCAAAAUGGAUUAGUCAAUACAAUUACUUGUAUUUUAGAGGAAGAUAAUGGUAAUCAUAAGUUGAAAAUAAUUUUUCUUGUUAAAAUUAACAGAAUCCAUUAACAAAUUGGGGGUAAAUGUUUUUUUAAACGUUAGAGAGUUUUGUAUCCCUUUCUAUAAAGGUUUGGGGUGUAUCAGUCAUUUUCUCUAUUAUUUCCUUGACAUUCGAAUUUAAUAAGGAUACAAAUGUAAAAGUACACAUUUUUAGUUUUUAAGUUAAAAAAAAAACUUAAUACUUUUUCAAAGAUUGAAAAAAAAAUUAUUUAAAUUCAGACAUCCUAGUCUAUUAAAAUUUCAUAGUAGUUCAAGUCUAUUUAAAUUUCAAAUAAAAAAAUUCCAGCUAAAUCCGUUUGUUUUUUCAACAUAAUGAAAAUUUUUAGUUAUUAAGUCAUUAAGUCAUUAAGCCAACUUUUUAACUUUUUGCUAAGCAAAAAAGAUGCCAUUAAAAUAUAUCUUCCAAAAUAUCCCUAUCUAAUUAAUUAAUUUUCAUCCUUACCUAAAUAAAAUUUAAUAAUUAACAUUAUUACCCAUCUCUAUAACUUGUGAUAAUAUAGCGGUAGGUGACUAUUAUUUUUAUCCUUUUAUUUUCUUCAAAUUAGCAUAAUUAAUCUUCAUGAUUUUUUUGAAUAUUUUUUUAUAUAAAAAUAUUAUGAACUACAAUUAAAUUGAUUAACAUGUAUAAUGGAAAAGAUGUCUUGGAUAAUUCGUUUGCGAAUACAUUUAUCCAUUAGAUACAUAUUACAAAUUGCGGCAAAUAGUUAUCUUUCUUUCUUUCUUUUUUAUUUUUUUCAGAGCAACUCAACAUUAAUAGAACAACAUUGAACCAAAUAACGCUUAGGUAGGGAGACAUACCGGGCAUCACCACCACAAAUCCUUCCACCCCGUACCCUAAUACCAUCCCCAAGCCAUCAUAUGCUUCUGCAGUCAACCCUGUGUCCAUCGUUGACCCUAAUGUUGCCUCUAGGCUCUUUAAAUCCUUUGUUGAUGUUUGUUACAAUUUCAUCUUCGCCUUCUUUUUCUGUGAAGAUGGGCACCUUUCAUCGAGGCGAACCUGCUAUACAUUUUAAAGAAUUAGCAGUGCAGAUUAAUUAACUAGUUUCUUAAGAUAGUUGAAACAAGCAUAACCCUCGCAAUAUAUAUAUAUAUAUAGCCGUAUGUUCAUAAUCGAUCAUUCUAUUAAAAAAAUUUCAAUACUUCUAUUUUCUUUUUACUUCAUGGAGUCUUAUUACAGUAGAUACAAAUUAAUUUUCAAUUAGUGAAAUAAUUUUCAAUUAAUGGAAAAGAUGUCUUGGAUAAUUCGUUUGCGAAUACAUUUAUCCAUUAGAUACAUAUUACAAAUUGCGGCAAAUAGUUAUCUUUCUUUCUUUCUUUUUUAUUUUUUUCAGAGCAACUCAACAUUAAUAGAACAACAUUGAACCAAAUAACGCUUAGGUAGGGAGACAUACCGGGCAUCACCACCACAAAUCCUUCCACCCCGUACCCUAAUACCAUCCCCAAGCCAUCAUAUGCUUCUGCAGUCAACCCUGUGUCCAUCGUUGACCCUAAUGUUGCCUCUAGGCUCUUUAAAUCCUUUGUUGAUGUUUGUUACAAUUUCAUCUUCGCCUUCUUUUUCUGUGAAGAUGGGCACCUUUCAUCGAGGCGAACCUGCUAUACAUUUUAAAGAAUUAGCAGUGCAGAUUAAUUAACUAGUUUCUUAAGAUAGUUGAAACAAGCAUAACCCUCGCAAUAUAUAUAUAUAUAUAUAGCCGUAUGUUCAUAAUCGAUCAUUCUAUUAAAAAAAUUUCAAUACUUCUAUUUUCUUUUUACUUCAUGGAGUCUUAUUACAGUAGAUACAAAUUAAUUUUCAAUUAGUGAAAUAAAGUGGCGCAAGAGAUUUGAUGUUAGUACGGUCCCGCCACAGAUUGAAAAAUACUAAAGUUCAUUUUUUUAAUUAAAAAAAACAACAAUUUCAAUUGUGCUCAAGACUAAAAUAUUAAAUCGAAUCGAUUUGCAUAAAAUUAAUUAGGGUAAUUUAAUUCUAUUUAUGUUAAAAUUAUCCACUUCAUGAAAUUAAUUAUUAAUUUUUACACUGGUCGAAUCAUUUUGCAUGAUGUUCUACCAUAGGUUACGACGGACCGUGACCGCCAGAUCUUUUCCUAACUAAAGUGGAAAUUUAAUGAAGGAAAUCUACGAAUAUGAAAUUUCUAUGACAUUAAUUAAAGUUCAACUUCAAUAUAAAUUCAAGUUCAGAGAAGUUUGCUCUCCAAAACCAGAAACCAAAAACAAAACAAAAAAAUUCACAUAUAUCGAUAAAGCUAAAUGUGCACUUGCUUAGAGCAAAAAACCCAUUAAUCUCAAAAAAAUACUCCUUCAUUCAGAGAGACAAUAAUUUAUUUGAGUACCAGAAUUUCAAAUAUGGAUGUUGUAGGCUCUCCCCUCCCUCGUGUUUUGUUCAAUUUUUUUUUUUUUUUUGUAACAAUAAUUUUUUAUCUUUAAUCUUCAUCUUAAAGCCAUUAUGCUUGAUGACUCGUUCAUGUCAUUUUCUUCAGCCUUUACAAAGGUUGUUUCCCCGUUUGUUAGUUGCUGUUACUUGCCCAGCUGGAUUCCCGCCAAUACCAACAACCGUAUAUGCCUUUCUCACGUGCCAAGCAUGCGAAAUUUAAGUGAACCCAAAACGACAACAGGCUUGUGUCGUUUUGAUUAUAUUUGGUUUAUGAUAUCACGUGACAACACACAUGACUUUCGAACCACUUGUGGAUGACAUCCUCGAUAUUGUCGGUUGUCAGGCUUCAACACACUAGACAACAUGUACUGUCUUCGGAGUUCCGCAAAUACUAAACCAUUUUUUUUUUUGAAUGGGCAAAUACUAACUUAAUUAUGUGGCAUCCUUACGGAAAACUCUUUAGAAUUAUUGGAGAAUUUUAAUCCCGCCCAAGAUUCCAUAAAUAAAAAAUACCAAAUAAAUAAUAAGUAAAAUUAGACGGAGAAUAAAACUAGUCACACAACACAAGAAUUUACGUGGAAAUUUCUAUACUGAAGAAAAACUACGGCCACCAAGGAUGACGAGAGAAAAAUAUACUAUGUAAAAAAUUAUUACGAUCAUUCUAGUAUUUUUUCUCACACCAAAAACGCCAAUAACACUCAAUCUUUCAAUAGUUUUAUUGUUUCUCACACACAAGAAACUGUUUACUUGCAGAGAAUUAAUUGUUGUGUUAUAUAAAUAAGUGAACUCAACCUCCCUAUAUAUAGUGAUUAUUUAUUGUAGGAGAAAUAUUAUUUUUUUUAUACUAGUUAUAUUCCUCCUUAAAUAAGACAAGUCCCAAAGAAAAAAUUACUUAUUAUUUAAAUAGAAAUCCUACCAAAAAAAGGAAAAUAUCCUAAAAAAUCCUUAUUGAAAAAUAAGAUAUAUUUCCUGUUUGGUAACGGAUAAAAGGAGGAAAAAAGGGAGAGUGGGGGCAUGACUUUUAUCUCAUCCAUAACUUCCGAAAAGUGGGAGAGAACAAGGGGGGAAAGAGGGGAGUGGGGAGUUACCUAGGGGGGAUUUUAUUUAUUUUUUCUCUCUUCUCCGGGGGGUGUUUUUUGGGCUCUCUUCCUCUCAUGGAAAUUUCUUGCUUUUACACUAUACUUUACUUUCUGUAAAUUACUCGAAAAGCUUUGGGUUUGAAGGCAAUGCUUAUUAAGCCACAUGAGUGGUGGCACAAAUUUUUCCGAAAGGCCUAGAAACUGACUUGAGCGUCGGAGGCUUCACGCCGGAAAAACUUCCGGCGCCUCUGACCGUCUUCUAUGAUUUCCGGUAUUCACAGAUUAAUCGCCGGUGGUUGCAGGACAUCUAGACGAUUGACCAAUCGAUUCUCUACCAAAUAAAUCUAAAGUUGAUGCGGGAGUUUGGUAUCAAGUCGCUAACCGACUCAAUCGGAUUUCGACAUCAACAUUUGGCGCCGUCUGUGGGGAUCGAUACAAGAAGCCAAUUUGUUAUCUCUAUCAACUUUCAUCUAGCCAAAGCGAAGGCAAAAUAUUAUCAUGUGUGAAUUGAAGCAACCUGUCUUUUAUUUCUGAACUCACGUGAAAGAAGCAAAGCGAAUCGGUAAAAAACUAACCCAAUGUUGGCAUUUAGAAGCUUCAGAUCGGUAAAAUCUGUCACAGAUUCAUCUCCACUUGUAUUUCCAAUUAAAUUACUGCAAUUACUUUCAAUUUAUUUGUUUGUGUGCAUGAUAUAUUGCAUCAAAUGAUCAAUUGUGAUUUGGCUUUCAUGAGCAUGAGAAAUUGAUUAUAGAGGAUAGAUUUAAAAAAUACAUAUACUGAAUAUAUGAAAUCAUAUCACAAACUAGUGGCCACAUGCUUGUUGGUUUAUAGUCAAUUGCUGAUCAUGUGCUUACCAUUAAAGUCUUGCACGCAUACAAGUUUAGAUAUUAAGAUUUUAACCACUUUCCCAAUCGGAUUAUGCCACGGUUUCAGCAUGCAUUUUGAUGGGUUUAAUCAUUUCGAAUGAUAUUUAAUUACUAAUUGGAUGCAGAGAUGUGUCAGAUUGUAAUUUCAGAAACAGGUUUCAGAUGAUAUUUGUUAAAAGUGGUGAUACGAGAUCACGCACAGUAAGCGUUAGACAAAAUGAUUGAUAGAAUAAAAAAAAAAAUCGCAGCCUCAAAUUGUAAAGAGCAAGCUUAGGACUCUACAUAGGAACAAUCAAGAUGGUGAGAUUAAUUGGACUGGAAAACAAAGGCUGCAACUGAAAUUACAGGGAGUGACGCUCAAUAGAACAUUGCGCAAGAGCAAAGGACUAAAAUCCAAAAUAAUUCUAAGAAGGGAGCAAAGCAGAGUCAAGCUCGGGAUUUGUUUGAUGACGUACCAAUGAAAUAAUGCAGAGCACAAUCUCAGGUGCACUUGUUCUAAAACCUCAGUUUUAUAUUUAUCCUUUAAAUCCGCUACCUGACUUCAAAAAUCUGAUGGAUGGGGUUUUGACUUAUUAAGUCGUUAAUAAAAAAUAGUUAAGAUUGCAUAUUAUAGAAUAUAUAGCAUAGUCAUAUNNNNNNNNNNNNNNNNNNNNNNNNNNNNNNNNNNNNNNNNNNNNNNNNNNNNNNNNNNNNNNNNNNNNNNNNNNNNNNNNNNNNNNNNAAAGGCCCAAACAUAUAUAAAUAGCUAACCUUGGCCGUACAGCAGUGAGCUAUUUUCUGGACAAGUUAUACGUUAUAGGUCAGAAAUUAAAUUUUUGAUAGUUUAUUACAGCUGAUCAAUUUGCAGAGCAAAUCCAUAUUUAAGGAUUUAAAGAAAAAAACCUCAAAUAAGAGCACAUCGAAGGCACACAUUUAUAGGAAUCAGAACAGGUCAGAAGUUAUAUUUUGAUUUACAAGCAGUUUUUUCUAUGAAAAUUUAAUUGUUUCUCUAAAUUCUGCUAUAUGCGAUGAGGAUACCUUAUAUUCAUUAAAUUGAUUGCGCUCAUAUUAGGGCUGACGGUAUAACUUAGUUAACUUGAUUUCUUGAAAGUUACUCAAUAUGAGAAUAAUUUAAGAAAUGAGAGCUAGGCUAGCGUUGAGAAGCCAAUCAAAGUUUACUAAUAAGGCAUGCAAAGGCUCACCAAGUCUCAAAGUCUAUUUUAUGGCGAGACCAGAAGCCAAGUGUGCCAGGAUUUACUCGACCAAGCGAAGGCAAGCAGACCCUCAAGUAUUAUAAAAAUUCCUAAGGCAUGCAAAGGCUCACCAAGUCUCAAAGCCUGUUUUAUGGCGAGACUAGAAGCCAAGCGUGCCAGGAUCUGCUCGACCAAGCUAAAGUGAGCAGACCUUUAAGUGUUAUAAAAAUUUCUAAGGCAAGUAAAGGCUCCAAAGUCUCAAAACCUGCUCAAUGGCGAGAUAAAAAGUCAAGCUUGCUAGAAUUUGCCCGACCAUGUGAAGCCGAGCAAAAAAAAAAAAUUUACAACUUCUAUACCAGAAGACAAGUAAGAACAUUCUUAUUAAUAUGCCAACAGUUCGUAAAGUUAUUCAUCAUAACAGACAAUGUCCAAAAAAUAGGAAAAGGCAACUACAACACAAAACAUGUUUAAGAAGACGGCGGCUCAGUAAGCCGAGAAGCCUCAGUUGGCUGGUCCACCUCAGGUGCUGGGGGAGUAUCACCAGUUGCGUCCGGGGGGGCACUCGCCUCGCCAACAUCAACAGGGAUUGCACGAGGAGGAGAGUUUUCCUCCUCGACCAUAAUUGGCUCCACCACUUCGGCAUCCUCUUUCGCCGCCUCCUCAUCCAUGUGUUGAGCAACACCAGCUGCAAGGUCAUCCAUUUGCAGAUCAGGGUGCUACUUCCCAAGGACAACCAUGAUGCAACGAUAAGAAUGCCGAAGUCCUUGGUCGUAUUGGUUGUCAGCUUCAUUCUCCAAGUUCUCGUCCUAAGCCCGGUAGGAAUCGCGGAGAGAUUCGAGCUGAGCCUCGUACAUAACCUUCUGCCUUUGCAGAUCCUCCUUGACCUUGGUUAGCUCUUCCUCGAGAGUAAUAGCCUUUGCUUAAGCAAGAGAUUCUCACUCUAUCAGCUUCAGAUUCUCGAGAUUCAAGUCUCCUACUUUCUUCUCGGCAACGUCGGCUCUGGUCAUCGCCGAUUGAAUGUCCUCCUUCAUCUUCCAGUCAUAACGGCCAACCUUGACCUUAUAGUAAGUGGUCAUGCAGCUGAGAUGGAAAUCGCUAUACUGCAUGGCCCCCACCAGCUCACCCAGGGUGCAGCCAUCAAAGUCCUCCAGGUCCUUCUUACUUACAAGUUUAGAUAACUCGUUGAGAUAGGGGACCAAGUGUUCUGCUCGGUUGUCAGAUAAACGAGAUCUAGGCCUGACAGGAGGAGAAGAGGAAGCAGGAUCAGUGGCUGCUCCACUAGUUUCUCCGACUUUGGCAGGAGGAGGAGGUAGAGUCUUCAAGGGAGGAACCUGCUGCACAAUGUUCACCCGCUUCGCAGUAAGAGUGUUCUUGUUCUGGUCUCUCUUUGCAGUUUGAGGUCGAGAACGUUUCCAAUUCAGAGCCCCGAUCACAACAUCCUCCAUCUUAUGGCCGGGGGGCACCAAGCAAGAUUCAACCAGGUUAUAACGUGGUUAGCAGCUCCUAGUGUGAGCAAGAAUUGGCCAGCACAGCCUCGACCUGUUUGAGCUGGUCGGGAUUAAGCGGGAAGUGAACACCCCAAGAACCUGUAAAACGAACAGACAUUUGGUUAGAGACAAAUCAACAAAGUGAGAACAACUAUGGAGACAAGUCAUUUAAAAUGAGCAGGCAACCUGGAACCACGAAACGGGGUGGGACGCGAUAAUCUUUCCCAUCAAUCUGUGCAACUUGACCCCAGGGACCCCCUUAUAAAAAUUCCUAAGGCAUGCAAAGGCUCACUAAGUCUCAAAGCUUGUUUUAUAGUGAGACCAGAAGCCAAGCGUGCCAAGAUAUGCUCGACCAAGUAAAGGCGAGCAGACCCUUAAGUGUUAUAAAAAUUCCUAAGGCAUGCAAAGGCUCACUAGAAGCCAAGCAUGCCAAGAUCUGCUCGACCAAGCGAAGGCGAGCAGACUACAAAAGUUUCAGAAAUCUUCCAAGGCAUGCAAAGGCUCCAAAGUCUCAAAGUCUAUUUUAUGGCAGGACAGAAAGCGAAGCAUGCCAGGAUCUGUUUGACCAAGCGAAGGCGAGCAGACUACAAAAGUUCUAAAAAUCUCCUAAGGCAUGGAAAAGCUCCACAAGUCUCAAAGCCUCCUCGAUGGCGAGACAGGAAGCCAAGCUUGCCAGAAUCUGCUCGACCAUGUGAAGCCGAGCAAACAAUGAAAAUUUCAAAAAGUUUCUAAGGCAAGUAAAUGCUCCAAAGUCUCAAAGCCUGCUCGAUGGCGAGAUAAGAAGUCAAGCUUGCUAGAAUCUGCCCGACCAUGUGAAGCCAAGCAGAAAGAAAAAAAAAAGGUACUACAAGUAAAAGGCUUACAGUCUCCAAACCUCCUCGCAGUGAAACGAAGUCAAAGUUCUCUCUUGCCCGACUAAGAUUAUGCGAGCAAGAGUUAUAUGAGCGAAAAAUGUUCUAAAGCAGAUAAAUGACUAAGUCUUAAAACUUACUUGAAAUGAGAUAAAUACCUAAACUUAUGAAACCUGCUUUACAUGAUUAUGUGAGUAGGAAAAUGGUAUAUUUAAAGGCAUGUAAAAGUUUAAAACUUGAAACUUUUUUGUUAAGGGCAAGGUUAAUUUAAGCAAUCCCGAGCCGAUUUAUGGCAACCACCUCGAGUUCACUUUAAAAUUUAUAUAGUUUCCAGUCUUGAUUCGUUAAAGCUCUCAACACUAGAAACUGGGGGACUGGUGUUUGGUAACGGAUAAAAGGAGGAAAAAAGGGAGAGUGGGGGCAUGGCUUUUAUCUCAUCCAUAACUCGAUGUGUUGGUGAUUGGAUAUUGUAAAGGAUUUAUUAGAUAUUGUAUACGGAUUUGAUUCACCAUAUAUUUUGUGAUGCUAUUUGUUGGAAGUUUCAAGUGAUUGAAAUUUUUAGCGCAUCACACUAUUUGGUAUUUGAUAGUUUUUAUGAAUUUGAAUGUAAUUUUUAUUUCAAUUAAUUCAAGUUUUAAAUGUGGUUUUUGUUGUUUUUAUUUCAAAAUUCUGGAAUUUAAAUAAUAAUAAUUAAUAUUAUUAUAAUUUCAAAAUUAAAAAUAAUAAUUUUAUUCUUUUUUAAACUUUAAAUCUCAUGACAAAGAAUGUGAAUCAUUGAUAUAUGACAGCUUUUGAAGAAACCCAUCAAAUUCAAAAUAAUUUAAAUACCUGCUAAAAUUUCCAAUUAAUUCUCGAAAGUCUUUCAAAACGACGUCGCUUGGUUCGUGAUACAUGUGUGAUAAAUAUACAUUGUCAUGGGAACAUGUGAUAGAUAAAAUGUUGUCACAGAUUUGUGAGACGGGCUACAAUGACAGAUGGAAACUCUGUCAUAAGAGGGGUCGGAUGAUAGAUAUUCUCUGUCAUGGUAGCCCAUUUUUCUAGUAGUGUUCAAAUAGAAAAAUUAGUACGUUGUCAAUAUAAUUGUCUUAUAUAUGAUGCCAACAAUGAAACUAAACAAUCAUUCCCUUUAGCAUCCUUUUGGAAAAAUCUCUAUAACAAAUUGGAACAUUUUAAAAACUCAAAUCUUCAUAAAAAGUGGAGUGAGGAGUACCAUUAAUGAGUAAGUCCUGUGUUCGCACUUACAAAUACAAACACAAAGAUUAAAAUAAAUUUGAUCACUCACUAAUUGGAGUAUUUAUGUUAAACUUAUAGUUAUGUUUGGCCCUAAAAGUAUGCAAUAAAAUAACAUCAUUUUCAUAUACAAAAUUUUAUUUAUUCAUUGUUUAUUUUGACCGAACAUUAUUAGACUUAGUUUAUGAAGCAUGUAUUUUAUAUAUUGAUAAUUCUGCUGUACGGCCAAGGCGGAUGUACGGUACAGCAGGCCUAUCUAUCUUUUUUUGGUUUUUGUAUAUAUAUAACUCAUGAGAUUUAUAAUUUUUCAUUAUCAUGUUAACCCCUGGUCUGGACUGUCCUAAUAUUUAAACUUCUUUCCACCAUUUUCAAUUCUUAAAUUGACCAAUAUUUAUCUCAAUGUGUCCCUUUACUUGCCCAUUGAAUUUUGCAUCAAGGAUCUGAUGUGGUAGAAGAGAAGCUAACAAUUUAUGCGCUCGACAAUGUCUUUGCCUUUUGAAUUGAUUGAGAGAUCAUCAUUUCUUCACCCACUGGAAACUUUAGAUUAUGCUUUACGCUUUGGGCUUAUACUGGCAAGCCUACAAUCAUGGUAUUAAAGUUGGUAGAUUGAGGAGAUUCUGGUGAUUCCAGAAUUUUCUACAUUUUCUCUUUAUCUUUUGGAUUUUUAGAACUUUUUCCUUUCUUUUUAUUAGCUUGAUUUUGAUGGAUUUUAUUUAAUUAUAUAUGGAAGGUUAGAUGUUGUGCAUUAAUUAAAUUAUAGUCUUGAAAAAAUACUCUUUAAAAAAAUUCAUCUAGAAAUUUAGAAUUGAAAUCUGUCGAAGGCUAGACUAAAAGUUCUCUUCUCGUCUUUGGCAUUGCACUUGGUUUUAUAUUUCUCUUUACUAUGUACUCUGUUGCAAAAUAUUUUGUUUAUACUUAAUCUUUUAUAAUCCAGCAACUCUUAUGAAGACCUAGUCAACUGUCACUGCUACAUAAGCAUUCAGGUUAUGCUGCUUUAUCAUCAUUUUUAUUUUCUUCCAUUUUUCUCUUUUACAGCUUGUGAGCUUACUGCUUCAUUAUGUCAAUUUUCUGAAUGUGAUUUUUUAUUUUCUCUUGGGUUGUUUAUUCUCAUUUUCCCUUUAGUAUCAAAGCUGAUUAAAUCAAUUAGACACUGAUGAAUUUUAUUAUGAAUUUGAUUAAUUGUAAGUGGGCAAUAUAUUAAUAUGUAUUUUUUUGGCACUCAUUUUAUUGUAACCUAUGUUUCAGGUGAUGUUGGUGGCUUUCGGGAAUUUACUAAGAGUGUUUUUUUUAUGGAUUAAUUGUUUUUCUAGUGAUGUGUUGGUGAUUGGAUAUUGUAAAGGAUUUAUUAGAUAUUGUAUACGGAUUUGAUUCACCAUAUAUUUUGUGAUGCUAUUUGUUGGAAGUUUCAAGUGAUUGAAAUUUUUAGCGCAUCACACUAUUUGGUAUUUGAUAGUUUUUAUGAAUUUGAAUGUAAUUUUUAUUUCAAUUAAUUCAAGUUUUAAAUGUGGUUUUUGUUGUUUUUAUUUCAAAAUUCUGGAAUUUAAAUAAUAAUAAUUAAUAUUAUUAUAAUUUCAAAAUUAAAAAUAAUAAUUUUAUUCUUUUUUAAACUUUAAAUCUCAUGACAAAGAAUGUGAAUCAUUGAUAUAUGACAGCUUUUGAAGAAACCCAUCAAAUUCAAAAUAAUUUAAAUACCUGCUAAAAUUUCCAAUUAAUUCUCGAAAGUCUUUCAAAACGACGUCGCUUGGUUCGUGAUACAUGUGUGAUAAAUAUACAUUGUCAUGGGAACAUGUGAUAGAUAAAAUGUUGUCACAGAUUUGUGAGACGGGCUACAAUGACAGAUGGAAACUCUGUCAUAAGAGGGGUCGGAUGAUAGAUAUUCUCUGUCAUGGUAGCCCAUUUUUCUAGUAGUGUUCAAAUAGAAAAAUUAGUACGUUGUCAAUAUAAUUGUCUUAUAUAUGAUGCCAACAAUGAAACUAAACAAUCAUUCCCUUUAGCAUCCUUUUGGAAAAAUCUCUAUAACAAAUUGGAACAUUUUAAAAACUCAAAUCUUCAUAAAAAGUGGAGUGAGGAGUACCAUUAAUGAGUAAGUCCUGUGUUCGCACUUACAAAUACAAACACAAAGAUUAAAAUAAAUUUGAUCACUCACUAAUUGGAGUAUUUAUGUUAAACUUAUAGUUAUGUUUGGCCCUAAAAGUAUGCAAUAAAAUAACAUCAUUUUCAUAUACAAAAUUUUAUUUAUUCAUUGUUUAUUUUGACCGAACAUUAUUAGACUUAGUUUAUGAAGCAUGUAUUUUAUAUAUUGAUAAUUCUGCUGUACGGCCAAGGCGGAUGUACGGUACAGCAGGCCUAUCUAUCUUUUUUUGGUUUUUGUAUAUAUAUAACUCAUGAGAUUUAUAAUUUUUCAUUAUCAUGUUAACCCCUGGUCUGGACUGUCCUAAUAUUUAAACUUCUUUCCACCAUUUUCAAUUCUUAAAUUGACCAAUAUUUAUCUCAAUGUGUCCCUUUACUUGCCCAUUGAAUUUUGCAUCAAGGAUCUGAUGUGGUAGAAGAGAAGCUAACAAUUUAUGCGCUCGACAAUGUCUUUGCCUUUUGAAUUGAUUGAGAGAUCAUCAUUUCUUCACCCACUGGAAACUUUAGAUUAUGCUUUACGCUUUGGGCUUAUACUGGCAAGCCUACAAUCAUGGUAUUAAAGUUGGUAGAUUGAGGAGAUUCUGGUGAUUCCAGAAUUUUCUACAUUUUCUCUUUAUCUUUUGGAUUUUUAGAACUUUUUCCUUUCUUUUUAUUAGCUUGAUUUUGAUGGAUUUUAUUUAAUUAUAUAUGGAAGGUUAGAUGUUGUGCAUUAAUUAAAUUAUAGUCUUGAAAAAAUACUCUUUAAAAAAAUUCAUCUAGAAAUUUAGAAUUGAAAUCUGUCGAAGGCUAGACUAAAAGUUCUCUUCUCGUCUUUGGCAUUGCACUUGGUUUUAUAUUUCUCUUUACUAUGUACUCUGUUGCAAAAUAUUUUGUUUAUACUUAAUCUUUUAUAAUCCAGCAACUCUUAUGAAGACCUAGUCAACUGUCACUGCUACAUAAGCAUUCAGGUUAUGCUGCUUUAUCAUCAUUUUUAUUUUCUUCCAUUUUUCUCUUUUACAGCUUGUGAGCUUACUGCUUCAUUAUGUCAAUUUUCUGAAUGUGAUUUUUUAUUUUCUCUUGGGUUGUUUAUUCUCAUUUUCCCUUUAGUAUCAAAGCUGAUUAAAUCAAUUAGACACUGAUGAAUUUUAUUAUGAAUUUGAUUAAUUGUAAGUGGGCAAUAUAUUAAUAUGUAUUUUUUUGGCACUCAUUUUAUUGUAACCUAUGUUUCAGGUGAUGUUGGUGGCUUUCGGGAAUUUACUAAGAGUGUUUUUUUUAUGGAUUAAUUGUUUUUCUAGUGAUGUGUUGGUGAUUGGAUAUUGUAAAGGAUUUAUUAGAUAUUGUAUACGGAUUUGAUUCACCAUAUAUUUUGUGAUGCUAUUUGUUGGAAGUUUCAAGUGAUUGAAAUUUUUAGCGCAUCACACUAUUUGGUAUUUGAUAGUUUUUAUGAAUUUGAAUGUAAUUUUUAUUUCAAUUAAUUCAAGUUUUAAAUGUGGUUUUUGUUGUUUUUAUUUCAAAAUUCUGGAAUUUAAAUAAUAAUAAUUAAUAUUAUUAUAAUUUCAAAAUUAAAAAUAAUAAUUUUAUUCUUUUUUAAACUUUAAAUCUCAUGACAAAGAAUGUGAAUCAUUGAUAUAUGACAGCUUUUGAAGAAACCCAUCAAAUUCAAAAUAAUUUAAAUACCUGCUAAAAUUUCCAAUUAAUUCUCGAAAGUCUUUCAAAACGACGUCGCUUGGUUCGUGAUACAUGUGUGAUAAAUAUACAUUGUCAUGGGAACAUGUGAUAGAUAAAAUGUUGUCACAGAUUUGUGAGACGGGCUACAAUGACAGAUGGAAACUCUGUCAUAAGAGGGGUCGGAUGAUAGAUAUUCUCUGUCAUGGUAGCCCAUUUUUCUAGUAGUGUUCAAAUAGAAAAAUUAGUACGUUGUCAAUAUAAUUGUCUUAUAUAUGAUGCCAACAAUGAAACUAAACAAUCAUUCCCUUUAGCAUCCUUUUGGAAAAAUCUCUAUAACAAAUUGGAACAUUUUAAAAACUCAAAUCUUCAUAAAAAGUGGAGUGAGGAGUACCAUUAAUGAGUAAGUCCUGUGUUCGCACUUACAAAUACAAACACAAAGAUUAAAAUAAAUUUGAUCACUCACUAAUUGGAGUAUUUAUGUUAAACUUAUAGUUAUGUUUGGCCCUAAAAGUAUGCAAUAAAAUAACAUCAUUUUCAUAUACAAAAUUUUAUUUAUUCAUUGUUUAUUUUGACCGAACAUUAUUAGACUUAGUUUAUGAAGCAUGUAUUUUAUAUAUUGAUAAUUCUGCUGUACGGCCAAGGCGGAUGUACGGUACAGCAGGCCUAUCUAUCUUUUUUUGGUUUUUGUAUAUAUAUAACUCAUGAGAUUUAUAAUUUUUCAUUAUCAUGUUAACCCCUGGUCUGGACUGUCCUAAUAUUUAAACUUCUUUCCACCAUUUUCAAUUCUUAAAUUGACCAAUAUUUAUCUCAAUGUGUCCCUUUACUUGCCCAUUGAAUUUUGCAUCAAGGAUCUGAUGUGGUAGAAGAGAAGCUAACAAUUUAUGCGCUCGACAAUGUCUUUGCCUUUUGAAUUGAUUGAGAGAUCAUCAUUUCUUCACCCACUGGAAACUUUAGAUUAUGCUUUACGCUUUGGGCUUAUACUGGCAAGCCUACAAUCAUGGUAUUAAAGUUGGUAGAUUGAGGAGAUUCUGGUGAUUCCAGAAUUUUCUACAUUUUCUCUUUAUCUUUUGGAUUUUUAGAACUUUUUCCUUUCUUUUUAUUAGCUUGAUUUUGAUGGAUUUUAUUUAAUUAUAUAUGGAAGGUUAGAUGUUGUGCAUUAAUUAAAUUAUAGUCUUGAAAAAAUACUCUUUAAAAAAAUUCAUCUAGAAAUUUAGAAUUGAAAUCUGUCGAAGGCUAGACUAAAAGUUCUCUUCUCGUCUUUGGCAUUGCACUUGGUUUUAUAUUUCUCUUUACUAUGUACUCUGUUGCAAAAUAUUUUGUUUAUACUUAAUCUUUUAUAAUCCAGCAACUCUUAUGAAGACCUAGUCAACUGUCACUGCUACAUAAGCAUUCAGGUUAUGCUGCUUUAUCAUCAUUUUUAUUUUCUUCCAUUUUUCUCUUUUACAGCUUGUGAGCUUACUGCUUCAUUAUGUCAAUUUUCUGAAUGUGAUUUUUUAUUUUCUCUUGGGUUGUUUAUUCUCAUUUUCCCUUUAGUAUCAAAGCUGAUUAAAUCAAUUAGACACUGAUGAAUUUUAUUAUGAAUUUGAUUAAUUGUAAGUGGGCAAUAUAUUAAUAUGUAUUUUUUUGGCACUCAUUUUAUUGUAACCUAUGUUUCAGGUGAUGUUGGUGGCUUUCGGGAAUUUACUAAGAGUGUUUUUUUUAUGGAUUAAUUGUUUUUCUAGUGAUGUGUUGGUGAUUGGAUAUUGUAAAGGAUUUAUUAGAUAUUGUAUACGGAUUUGAUUCACCAUAUAUUUUGUGAUGCUAUUUGUUGGAAGUUUCAAGUGAUUGAAAUUUUUAGCGCAUCACACUAUUUGGUAUUUGAUAGUUUUUAUGAAUUUGAAUGUAAUUUUUAUUUCAAUUAAUUCAAGUUUUAAAUGUGGUUUUUGUUGUUUUUAUUUCAAAAUUCUGGAAUUUAAAUAAUAAUAAUUAAUAUUAUUAUAAUUUCAAAAUUAAAAAUAAUAAUUUUAUUCUUUUUUAAACUUUAAAUCUCAUGACAAAGAAUGUGAAUCAUUGAUAUAUGACAGCUUUUGAAGAAACCCAUCAAAUUCAAAAUAAUUUAAAUACCUGCUAAAAUUUCCAAUUAAUUCUCGAAAGUCUUUCAAAACGACGUCGCUUGGUUCGUGAUACAUGUGUGAUAAAUAUACAUUGUCAUGGGAACAUGUGAUAGAUAAAAUGUUGUCACAGAUUUGUGAGACGGGCUACAAUGACAGAUGGAAACUCUGUCAUAAGAGGGGUCGGAUGAUAGAUAUUCUCUGUCAUGGUAGCCCAUUUUUCUAGUAGUGUUCAAAUAGAAAAAUUAGUACGUUGUCAAUAUAAUUGUCUUAUAUAUGAUGCCAACAAUGAAACUAAACAAUCAUUCCCUUUAGCAUCCUUUUGGAAAAAUCUCUAUAACAAAUUGGAACAUUUUAAAAACUCAAAUCUUCAUAAAAAGUGGAGUGAGGAGUACCAUUAAUGAGUAAGUCCUGUGUUCGCACUUACAAAUACAAACACAAAGAUUAAAAUAAAUUUGAUCACUCACUAAUUGGAGUAUUUAUGUUAAACUUAUAGUUAUGUUUGGCCCUAAAAGUAUGCAAUAAAAUAACAUCAUUUUCAUAUACAAAAUUUUAUUUAUUCAUUGUUUAUUUUGACCGAACAUUAUUAGACUUAGUUUAUGAAGCAUGUAUUUUAUAUAUUGAUAAUUCUGCUGUACGGCCAAGGCGGAUGUACGGUACAGCAGGCCUAUCUAUCUUUUUUUGGUUUUUGUAUAUAUAUAACUCAUGAGAUUUAUAAUUUUUCAUUAUCAUGUUAACCCCUGGUCUGGACUGUCCUAAUAUUUAAACUUCUUUCCACCAUUUUCAAUUCUUAAAUUGACCAAUAUUUAUCUCAAUGUGUCCCUUUACUUGCCCAUUGAAUUUUGCAUCAAGGAUCUGAUGUGGUAGAAGAGAAGCUAACAAUUUAUGCGCUCGACAAUGUCUUUGCCUUUUGAAUUGAUUGAGAGAUCAUCAUUUCUUCACCCACUGGAAACUUUAGAUUAUGCUUUACGCUUUGGGCUUAUACUGGCAAGCCUACAAUCAUGGUAUUAAAGUUGGUAGAUUGAGGAGAUUCUGGUGAUUCCAGAAUUUUCUACAUUUUCUCUUUAUCUUUUGGAUUUUUAGAACUUUUUCCUUUCUUUUUAUUAGCUUGAUUUUGAUGGAUUUUAUUUAAUUAUAUAUGGAAGGUUAGAUGUUGUGCAUUAAUUAAAUUAUAGUCUUGAAAAAAUACUCUUUAAAAAAAUUCAUCUAGAAAUUUAGAAUUGAAAUCUGUCGAAGGCUAGACUAAAAGUUCUCUUCUCGUCUUUGGCAUUGCACUUGGUUUUAUAUUUCUCUUUACUAUGUACUCUGUUGCAAAAUAUUUUGUUUAUACUUAAUCUUUUAUAAUCCAGCAACUCUUAUGAAGACCUAGUCAACUGUCACUGCUACAUAAGCAUUCAGGUUAUGCUGCUUUAUCAUCAUUUUUAUUUUCUUCCAUUUUUCUCUUUUACAGCUUGUGAGCUUACUGCUUCAUUAUGUCAAUUUUCUGAAUGUGAUUUUUUAUUUUCUCUUGGGUUGUUUAUUCUCAUUUUCCCUUUAGUAUCAAAGCUGAUUAAAUCAAUUAGACACUGAUGAAUUUUAUUAUGAAUUUGAUUAAUUGUAAGUGGGCAAUAUAUUAAUAUGUAUUUUUUUGGCACUCAUUUUAUUGUAACCUAUGUUUCAGGUGAUGUUGGUGGCUUUCGGGAAUUUACUAAGAGUGUUUUUUUUAUGGAUUAAUUGUUUUUCUAGUGAUGUGUUGGUGAUUGGAUAUUGUAAAGGAUUUAUUAGAUAUUGUAUACGGAUUUGAUUCACCAUAUAUUUUGUGAUGCUAUUUGUUGGAAGUUUCAAGUGAUUGAAAUUUUUAGCGCAUCACACUAUUUGGUAUUUGAUAGUUUUUAUGAAUUUGAAUGUAAUUUUUAUUUCAAUUAAUUCAAGUUUUAAAUGUGGUUUUUGUUGUUUUUAUUUCAAAAUUCUGGAAUUUAAAUAAUAAUAAUUAAUAUUAUUAUAAUUUCAAAAUUAAAAAUAAUAAUUUUAUUCUUUUUUAAACUUUAAAUCUCAUGACAAAGAAUGUGAAUCAUUGAUAUAUGACAGCUUUUGAAGAAACCCAUCAAAUUCAAAAUAAUUUAAAUACCUGCUAAAAUUUCCAAUUAAUUCUCGAAAGUCUUUCAAAACGACGUCGCUUGGUUCGUGAUACAUGUGUGAUAAAUAUACAUUGUCAUGGGAACAUGUGAUAGAUAAAAUGUUGUCACAGAUUUGUGAGACGGGCUACAAUGACAGAUGGAAACUCUGUCAUAAGAGGGGUCGGAUGAUAGAUAUUCUCUGUCAUGGUAGCCCAUUUUUCUAGUAGUGUUCAAAUAGAAAAAUUAGUACGUUGUCAAUAUAAUUGUCUUAUAUAUGAUGCCAACAAUGAAACUAAACAAUCAUUCCCUUUAGCAUCCUUUUGGAAAAAUCUCUAUAACAAAUUGGAACAUUUUAAAAACUCAAAUCUUCAUAAAAAGUGGAGUGAGGAGUACCAUUAAUGAGUAAGUCCUGUGUUCGCACUUACAAAUACAAACACAAAGAUUAAAAUAAAUUUGAUCACUCACUAAUUGGAGUAUUUAUGUUAAACUUAUAGUUAUGUUUGGCCCUAAAAGUAUGCAAUAAAAUAACAUCAUUUUCAUAUACAAAAUUUUAUUUAUUCAUUGUUUAUUUUGACCGAACAUUAUUAGACUUAGUUUAUGAAGCAUGUAUUUUAUAUAUUGAUAAUUCUGCUGUACGGCCAAGGCGGAUGUACGGUACAGCAGGCCUAUCUAUCUUUUUUUGGUUUUUGUAUAUAUAUAACUCAUGAGAUUUAUAAUUUUUCAUUAUCAUGUUAACCCCUGGUCUGGACUGUCCUAAUAUUUAAACUUCUUUCCACCAUUUUCAAUUCUUAAAUUGACCAAUAUUUAUCUCAAUGUGUCCCUUUACUUGCCCAUUGAAUUUUGCAUCAAGGAUCUGAUGUGGUAGAAGAGAAGCUAACAAUUUAUGCGCUCGACAAUGUCUUUGCCUUUUGAAUUGAUUGAGAGAUCAUCAUUUCUUCACCCACUGGAAACUUUAGAUUAUGCUUUACGCUUUGGGCUUAUACUGGCAAGCCUACAAUCAUGGUAUUAAAGUUGGUAGAUUGAGGAGAUUCUGGUGAUUCCAGAAUUUUCUACAUUUUCUCUUUAUCUUUUGGAUUUUUAGAACUUUUUCCUUUCUUUUUAUUAGCUUGAUUUUGAUGGAUUUUAUUUAAUUAUAUAUGGAAGGUUAGAUGUUGUGCAUUAAUUAAAUUAUAGUCUUGAAAAAAUACUCUUUAAAAAAAUUCAUCUAGAAAUUUAGAAUUGAAAUCUGUCGAAGGCUAGACUAAAAGUUCUCUUCUCGUCUUUGGCAUUGCACUUGGUUUUAUAUUUCUCUUUACUAUGUACUCUGUUGCAAAAUAUUUUGUUUAUACUUAAUCUUUUAUAAUCCAGCAACUCUUAUGAAGACCUAGUCAACUGUCACUGCUACAUAAGCAUUCAGGUUAUGCUGCUUUAUCAUCAUUUUUAUUUUCUUCCAUUUUUCUCUUUUACAGCUUGUGAGCUUACUGCUUCAUUAUGUCAAUUUUCUGAAUGUGAUUUUUUAUUUUCUCUUGGGUUGUUUAUUCUCAUUUUCCCUUUAGUAUCAAAGCUGAUUAAAUCAAUUAGACACUGAUGAAUUUUAUUAUGAAUUUGAUUAAUUGUAAGUGGGCAAUAUAUUAAUAUGUAUUUUUUUGGCACUCAUUUUAUUGUAACCUAUGUUUCAGGUGAUGUUGGUGGCUUUCGGGAAUUUACUAAGAGUGUUUUUUUUAUGGAUUAAUUGUUUUUCUAGUGAUGUGUUGGUGAUUGGAUAUUGUAAAGGAUUUAUUAGAUAUUGUAUACGGAUUUGAUUCACCAUAUAUUUUGUGAUGCUAUUUGUUGGAAGUUUCAAGUGAUUGAAAUUUUUAGCGCAUCACACUAUUUGGUAUUUGAUAGUUUUUAUGAAUUUGAAUGUAAUUUUUAUUUCAAUUAAUUCAAGUUUUAAAUGUGGUUUUUGUUGUUUUUAUUUCAAAAUUCUGGAAUUUAAAUAAUAAUAAUUAAUAUUAUUAUAAUUUCAAAAUUAAAAAUAAUAAUUUUAUUCUUUUUUAAACUUUAAAUCUCAUGACAAAGAAUGUGAAUCAUUGAUAUAUGACAGCUUUUGAAGAAACCCAUCAAAUUCAAAAUAAUUUAAAUACCUGCUAAAAUUUCCAAUUAAUUCUCGAAAGUCUUUCAAAACGACGUCGCUUGGUUCGUGAUACAUGUGUGAUAAAUAUACAUUGUCAUGGGAACAUGUGAUAGAUAAAAUGUUGUCACAGAUUUGUGAGACGGGCUACAAUGACAGAUGGAAACUCUGUCAUAAGAGGGGUCGGAUGAUAGAUAUUCUCUGUCAUGGUAGCCCAUUUUUCUAGUAGUGUUCAAAUAGAAAAAUUAGUACGUUGUCAAUAUAAUUGUCUUAUAUAUGAUGCCAACAAUGAAACUAAACAAUCAUUCCCUUUAGCAUCCUUUUGGAAAAAUCUCUAUAACAAAUUGGAACAUUUUAAAAACUCAAAUCUUCAUAAAAAGUGGAGUGAGGAGUACCAUUAAUGAGUAAGUCCUGUGUUCGCACUUACAAAUACAAACACAAAGAUUAAAAUAAAUUUGAUCACUCACUAAUUGGAGUAUUUAUGUUAAACUUAUAGUUAUGUUUGGCCCUAAAAGUAUGCAAUAAAAUAACAUCAUUUUCAUAUACAAAAUUUUAUUUAUUCAUUGUUUAUUUUGACCGAACAUUAUUAGACUUAGUUUAUGAAGCAUGUAUUUUAUAUAUUGAUAAUUCUGCUGUACGGCCAAGGCGGAUGUACGGUACAGCAGGCCUAUCUAUCUUUUUUUGGUUUUUGUAUAUAUAUAACUCAUGAGAUUUAUAAUUUUUCAUUAUCAUGUUAACCCCUGGUCUGGACUGUCCUAAUAUUUAAACUUCUUUCCACCAUUUUCAAUUCUUAAAUUGACCAAUAUUUAUCUCAAUGUGUCCCUUUACUUGCCCAUUGAAUUUUGCAUCAAGGAUCUGAUGUGGUAGAAGAGAAGCUAACAAUUUAUGCGCUCGACAAUGUCUUUGCCUUUUGAAUUGAUUGAGAGAUCAUCAUUUCUUCACCCACUGGAAACUUUAGAUUAUGCUUUACGCUUUGGGCUUAUACUGGCAAGCCUACAAUCAUGGUAUUAAAGUUGGUAGAUUGAGGAGAUUCUGGUGAUUCCAGAAUUUUCUACAUUUUCUCUUUAUCUUUUGGAUUUUUAGAACUUUUUCCUUUCUUUUUAUUAGCUUGAUUUUGAUGGAUUUUAUUUAAUUAUAUAUGGAAGGUUAGAUGUUGUGCAUUAAUUAAAUUAUAGUCUUGAAAAAAUACUCUUUAAAAAAAUUCAUCUAGAAAUUUAGAAUUGAAAUCUGUCGAAGGCUAGACUAAAAGUUCUCUUCUCGUCUUUGGCAUUGCACUUGGUUUUAUAUUUCUCUUUACUAUGUACUCUGUUGCAAAAUAUUUUGUUUAUACUUAAUCUUUUAUAAUCCAGCAACUCUUAUGAAGACCUAGUCAACUGUCACUGCUACAUAAGCAUUCAGGUUAUGCUGCUUUAUCAUCAUUUUUAUUUUCUUCCAUUUUUCUCUUUUACAGCUUGUGAGCUUACUGCUUCAUUAUGUCAAUUUUCUGAAUGUGAUUUUUUAUUUUCUCUUGGGUUGUUUAUUCUCAUUUUCCCUUUAGUAUCAAAGCUGAUUAAAUCAAUUAGACACUGAUGAAUUUUAUUAUGAAUUUGAUUAAUUGUAAGUGGGCAAUAUAUUAAUAUGUAUUUUUUUGGCACUCAUUUUAUUGUAACCUAUGUUUCAGGUGAUGUUGGUGGCUUUCGGGAAUUUACUAAGAGUGUUUUUUUUAUGGAUUAAUUGUUUUUCUAGUGAUGUGUUGGUGAUUGGAUAUUGUAAAGGAUUUAUUAGAUAUUGUAUACGGAUUUGAUUCACCAUAUAUUUUGUGAUGCUAUUUGUUGGAAGUUUCAAGUGAUUGAAAUUUUUAGCGCAUCACACUAUUUGGUAUUUGAUAGUUUUUAUGAAUUUGAAUGUAAUUUUUAUUUCAAUUAAUUCAAGUUUUAAAUGUGGUUUUUGUUGUUUUUAUUUCAAAAUUCUGGAAUUUAAAUAAUAAUAAUUAAUAUUAUUAUAAUUUCAAAAUUAAAAAUAAUAAUUUUAUUCUUUUUUAAACUUUAAAUCUCAUGACAAAGAAUGUGAAUCAUUGAUAUAUGACAGCUUUUGAAGAAACCCAUCAAAUUCAAAAUAAUUUAAAUACCUGCUAAAAUUUCCAAUUAAUUCUCGAAAGUCUUUCAAAACGACGUCGCUUGGUUCGUGAUACAUGUGUGAUAAAUAUACAUUGUCAUGGGAACAUGUGAUAGAUAAAAUGUUGUCACAGAUUUGUGAGACGGGCUACAAUGACAGAUGGAAACUCUGUCAUAAGAGGGGUCGGAUGAUAGAUAUUCUCUGUCAUGGUAGCCCAUUUUUCUAGUAGUGUUCAAAUAGAAAAAUUAGUACGUUGUCAAUAUAAUUGUCUUAUAUAUGAUGCCAACAAUGAAACUAAACAAUCAUUCCCUUUAGCAUCCUUUUGGAAAAAUCUCUAUAACAAAUUGGAACAUUUUAAAAACUCAAAUCUUCAUAAAAAGUGGAGUGAGGAGUACCAUUAAUGAGUAAGUCCUGUGUUCGCACUUACAAAUACAAACACAAAGAUUAAAAUAAAUUUGAUCACUCACUAAUUGGAGUAUUUAUGUUAAACUUAUAGUUAUGUUUGGCCCUAAAAGUAUGCAAUAAAAUAACAUCAUUUUCAUAUACAAAAUUUUAUUUAUUCAUUGUUUAUUUUGACCGAACAUUAUUAGACUUAGUUUAUGAAGCAUGUAUUUUAUAUAUUGAUAAUUCUGCUGUACGGCCAAGGCGGAUGUACGGUACAGCAGGCCUAUCUAUCUUUUUUUGGUUUUUGUAUAUAUAUAACUCAUGAGAUUUAUAAUUUUUCAUUAUCAUGUUAACCCCUGGUCUGGACUGUCCUAAUAUUUAAACUUCUUUCCACCAUUUUCAAUUCUUAAAUUGACCAAUAUUUAUCUCAAUGUGUCCCUUUACUUGCCCAUUGAAUUUUGCAUCAAGGAUCUGAUGUGGUAGAAGAGAAGCUAACAAUUUAUGCGCUCGACAAUGUCUUUGCCUUUUGAAUUGAUUGAGAGAUCAUCAUUUCUUCACCCACUGGAAACUUUAGAUUAUGCUUUACGCUUUGGGCUUAUACUGGCAAGCCUACAAUCAUGGUAUUAAAGUUGGUAGAUUGAGGAGAUUCUGGUGAUUCCAGAAUUUUCUACAUUUUCUCUUUAUCUUUUGGAUUUUUAGAACUUUUUCCUUUCUUUUUAUUAGCUUGAUUUUGAUGGAUUUUAUUUAAUUAUAUAUGGAAGGUUAGAUGUUGUGCAUUAAUUAAAUUAUAGUCUUGAAAAAAUACUCUUUAAAAAAAUUCAUCUAGAAAUUUAGAAUUGAAAUCUGUCGAAGGCUAGACUAAAAGUUCUCUUCUCGUCUUUGGCAUUGCACUUGGUUUUAUAUUUCUCUUUACUAUGUACUCUGUUGCAAAAUAUUUUGUUUAUACUUAAUCUUUUAUAAUCCAGCAACUCUUAUGAAGACCUAGUCAACUGUCACUGCUACAUAAGCAUUCAGGUUAUGCUGCUUUAUCAUCAUUUUUAUUUUCUUCCAUUUUUCUCUUUUACAGCUUGUGAGCUUACUGCUUCAUUAUGUCAAUUUUCUGAAUGUGAUUUUUUAUUUUCUCUUGGGUUGUUUAUUCUCAUUUUCCCUUUAGUAUCAAAGCUGAUUAAAUCAAUUAGACACUGAUGAAUUUUAUUAUGAAUUUGAUUAAUUGUAAGUGGGCAAUAUAUUAAUAUGUAUUUUUUUGGCACUCAUUUUAUUGUAACCUAUGUUUCAGGUGAUGUUGGUGGCUUUCGGGAAUUUACUAAGAGUGUUUUUUUUAUGGAUUAAUUGUUUUUCUAGUGAUGUGUUGGUGAUUGGAUAUUGUAAAGGAUUUAUUAGAUAUUGUAUACGGAUUUGAUUCACCAUAUAUUUUGUGAUGCUAUUUGUUGGAAGUUUCAAGUGAUUGAAAUUUUUAGCGCAUCACACUAUUUGGUAUUUGAUAGUUUUUAUGAAUUUGAAUGUAAUUUUUAUUUCAAUUAAUUCAAGUUUUAAAUGUGGUUUUUGUUGUUUUUAUUUCAAAAUUCUGGAAUUUAAAUAAUAAUAAUUAAUAUUAUUAUAAUUUCAAAAUUAAAAAUAAUAAUUUUAUUCUUUUUUAAACUUUAAAUCUCAUGACAAAGAAUGUGAAUCAUUGAUAUAUGACAGCUUUUGAAGAAACCCAUCAAAUUCAAAAUAAUUUAAAUACCUGCUAAAAUUUCCAAUUAAUUCUCGAAAGUCUUUCAAAACGACGUCGCUUGGUUCGUGAUACAUGUGUGAUAAAUAUACAUUGUCAUGGGAACAUGUGAUAGAUAAAAUGUUGUCACAGAUUUGUGAGACGGGCUACAAUGACAGAUGGAAACUCUGUCAUAAGAGGGGUCGGAUGAUAGAUAUUCUCUGUCAUGGUAGCCCAUUUUUCUAGUAGUGUUCAAAUAGAAAAAUUAGUACGUUGUCAAUAUAAUUGUCUUAUAUAUGAUGCCAACAAUGAAACUAAACAAUCAUUCCCUUUAGCAUCCUUUUGGAAAAAUCUCUAUAACAAAUUGGAACAUUUUAAAAACUCAAAUCUUCAUAAAAAGUGGAGUGAGGAGUACCAUUAAUGAGUAAGUCCUGUGUUCGCACUUACAAAUACAAACACAAAGAUUAAAAUAAAUUUGAUCACUCACUAAUUGGAGUAUUUAUGUUAAACUUAUAGUUAUGUUUGGCCCUAAAAGUAUGCAAUAAAAUAACAUCAUUUUCAUAUACAAAAUUUUAUUUAUUCAUUGUUUAUUUUGACCGAACAUUAUUAGACUUAGUUUAUGAAGCAUGUAUUUUAUAUAUUGAUAAUUAAUUUCAUUUCAAUAUUGGAUGAUAUAAAUCACAAAUUUUUUAUGAAUAAAAAAUUGUACAUAGUCAUUAAUGAAUUGGACAUGUCAUUAUGUACGUAAUUUUAUACUUUUCCUAUCUCUACAAUGAGUGAUUUUUUCUUGAUCGCUAAAUUGGAGAUUUCAAGUAGAAAAGUUAAUUUGUUGUCAAUAUAAUAGUAAUACAUAUGAUGCCAACAAUGAAACAUAACAAUCAUUUCCUUUGUCAUCCUUAUAGAAAAAUCUCUAUAAUAAACUGGAACAUUUAAAAUCUUAAGUGUUUAUAAAAUAUGGAGUGAGGACCAUUAACGAAUAAGUCAUGUUCAUAUUUACAAAAACAAGCACAGAAGCACAAACACAAAAAUUGAAAUAAAUGUGAGAACAGAUAACUAUUUUUGAAAUAAUGCCCAUUACGAGCAUUACUGGUCUUUAUUGUUUGUAACCGCUACUUGAAACGCCUUUAGUGCUGCAACUAUUUGCUACUUUCUUGAAAUCCCAUCUUCGCACCAAACCAAUCUUCAAACCCGGCUAAUAAUUACUUCAUUUUAGAGCAAUUCGGAAGUCUUGUCACAAAUUUUCACCCCGAUAAGUCAGGGGUUUACUUGAUACAAAUAAAUAAACUAUUUCUUUCCGUAAGAAAUUGGUGUAAAAUCGAUUAUCCAGAUGUUAUUAUCCCAAUUUAUGAAUCUUAAUUUUCAUGAUGAGAAAUUAUGCCCCUAUUAACCAUACAAAAUAAAUUUUAAAAAUAAAAUAAAAUAAAAUAAAACCAUACAGAGUAUACAAAAAGAGAGCGGUUAAUAUUUAUUAUUAUUGUUGAAAUAAUUUAUUGAAAUUCACCUAGUGUCUGUUUAAUCUUUAUAUUUUAAAAAAUAACUCAAGACACCCUUACCGUUGAAUAUGUUACACUUAUAUCCUUACUUUUUCUUUUAAUUUAUAAUAAUAUUCUUACAACAUUAUUCUUGAGAAUAUUAAUAAAAAAUAAUUUAUUAUAUUAAACUUAAAAGUAACAUAAAAAUUAACACAAAUUUUUAUAUUAUUAUUUUACUUUUGUUAUUUCACGACUUUAUAUCGUAUUAGAAAAGUUUAAGUAACUAGUUUUGCUCCUUGUGGCUAGCUGUUAUUGGCAGCUGGAGCAUGUAAUCUUAAACCCAAUAACUUUAAGAGGAAAAUGUUAAUAAGUAUAAUUAUCACAAAGAAAUCAAAAAUAUAAAAAGUAUAAAAAUCAAAUAAUCUAAAAAUAAAAUUCCACUAUAAAAGAAAAACAAAACUAACAUUACACGAAGGAAAAUGGUCGUUAGUUUCCUGAAUACUUCAAUUAACUUCCUUAAGUUUGUUCCUGCUCCUUUAGUUUGCUGAGACAUACUGCAGUAAAUGAUGACUUUGAACGACUUGUCACUUUCUUCAGGAAAUUAAGGAAUUUGCCCAAAAUUGAAAAGUAAAGUCAUCUCUAACAAAGUUCGAAAAAGUUUCUCAAAACUCACUAACCUCGCUUCCAAUUCCUUCAUUGAUUCGCAUAUAUUCUCUGUUUUUCUUCUAUUAGUUUCUGUUAGGAAUUUUAGCAAACAUUUGAUAUGGAUAACACAAUUAAAAUAAUAGAACAAAGAAUUUCGAUUCCUAAUUUAACUGAAAAAAAAAAUCUGAAUUUCACUUAAUACAAUCACAACUAAAGUAAUCAAAAUUAAAUUAGCUGAGUUAAAAAAUGCAUGCCAUCUUCUCAUUGUUAUCAACCUGCAACUCAAUAUCGAAAAACACCGAACGUGACCCUCUGUUAGCCUUAUGCCUCUUGUCCCCUCCCUCUCCAUAGCCUAACAUCUUCCAUGUGCUUCCUAUUGGUUUUUUACCCAAUAAGUAAAAAAAGAAGGAAAAAAAAAGUUCAAAUAUUUAGCGCGAUUGAGAUUAGAACUGAUCAAGUUCUAUUCAUCUUCCUAGGACGAGAUGAAUGCUGCUCGUCCAGUCUUCCUUAGCAUUUUGCAGCUUCACACCAACAUUUUUUGACUUGGAUUUCUUGAACUGAUCAAGUUGCAGGAAAAUAAUAAUAAUAAUAAUAAAGAUUUGAAAUAGAGAGGCAAAGCUAAACGAGAAAAAGACUUGAGAACUUUAUUUAUUUAUUUAUUUUUGUAUUAGUUUGUUUAGGGUUUUAAUUCUGCUUCAUUUUUUUUUCUGUUAUAUAAAAACUUAGCAUGUUAAUAACUGAAUAUUUUAGAAGUGAGAAAACUAAAAUUAAAAAAAUGAAAAACGUAAAUUAAAUUUCCAGAGAAUUUUUUAAUUAAAUUUUAAAAAAGAAAAAAAUAAAAAAGAAGAACAGUUUCAGUUCUUUUGUAAAUAAUAAAAAAUCAAAAUUAAAUUUUAAUGAAAUAGAAGCUUUAACAAGUUAAAAAAUAUUUAUAAGUCAAGACAAAACUAUAUGCUAUAAUUUUUUAGUUUACUAACUAUAUCUAAUUAUCCAGAACAAUUUAUCAUGAAAGUUGAGGGGCACAGGUUCAAGUUCUACCGCUAUCUAAAAGUUGGUGUUAAGACUUUAGUUUUCCUCUUAUUAAUAGGUAAGGGGAAAUUAAGACUUUAAAUUAUCUCCUAUUAAUAGGCAAGCGUUAAAAGGAGAAUUUAAAAAAAAAAUCUGUGCAAAAAAGUGAAGUCUCUAAAUUAUUAAAAACUAGAGUAAAUAGGAGAAUUAAAAAAAAAAUCCUUAAAAAAAGUGAAGUCUCUAAAUUAUUGAAAACUAAAAGCGUUUGCGAGACUAAUACUUGUGUCUCAAAUUAUUGAACAAAUUUACACAAUUCUUUUAGCUACAAAAUAUUAAUGUCACUGACGACUACAUUUUGUUACACAUAUUUGUUGUUAUAAGAGAUGAUAAACUAUCCAAGAAUGUUAAAAUUUGCAGGAAUUUAUUAGUGCUAAAAAUACGAUGUCUCUGCAUAACGAAUGUCAUUAUGUUCACCAAAAGAAUAAGAAUCAAAUAGCAAAUAAAUGUGUUUUAAAAACAAAAUAACUUGGUCAAAAAGUACAGUAAUAACUAAAACAAAAUAUUCAAUUACUAUUUUUAAGAUUUUGUCGCUAUAGAAUUAUUUGUGACAAAAAAUUUGGGUGCCUAAUUUAGAGAAAGCCAAAAUAAUUUUGGAGACUAAUAUUUUUGUCAUAGCUUGUUUCACCAAAUUUAUACUCUUUUUUAGUUGAUAAUUUUUUGUCGCCUCUAAUUAUUUUUCAUCAUCACAUUUUUUUGUCACAACUGAUAAUUAAUUGUUUGGAGGAAUUGUUUUUCACUAUAUAUAUAUUAUGACCAAUGUAAUAUUUGUCACAAAAAGUUGAAUCAAUGACCAAUUAAUGCAUCCCAAAAUAAGAAUUAUUGGUUAGAAAAUAUAAUAUAAAUUAGAACUAGACUAAUAGUUUGAAAUUGUUGUAAAAAAAUCGUCUUAAAAAGUCAAAUUUCUUAUACUACACAUUGAUAUAUAUUGAUUAAUUUGUUAAUUAAUUUUUUAUUUAUAGAUAAAUUAAUUAAUGUUACGAAUAUCGUUGAAAGAGUAUUAUUAUAAAAAAAAAGAAAAAAAGGAUAAGAAUGUAACAUAUUUAACUGAAGAGGUGUUUUGAGAUAUUUUUUAAAAUAUAAAACUAAACAAACAUUUAACUCAUAAUAUAGGAAUUAAAUAAUCAUUUAUCUUUAUUUUGUAGAUAACUAGUUUUGCUGGAAACUCCCAUAUAUACAACAGAUUUGGAAACACAAUACGCCACUCACAGUCACUUGGAGAAAUUCUCAAAGAGUAAAUAUGGCAGUGAUACUCAAAAAUAUAUUCCGAAUCACUGCUUCCAAGUUGGUCACCAAUAAUAUCCAAAUCUUCACGAAAAGAAGUAUAAAAACUGCCACUUCUGAUGUUCAAAUCAUUUCCACCGAAGCAAUCAAACCUCAUCUCCAACACCAAAACAUCUCAGAACCUAUAAGCUUUCAUUGCCUGAUCAAUUGUGUUCUAAACUUUACGUGUCCCUUGUUUUCUUCUACUCGACCAAUUGCAAACAGCAAGAUCUCAGAAAAAAAUCCGAUUUGUUGAAGCAGUCUCUCGCAAAAUCAUUAACGCACUACUACCCUUUUGCUGGACGAUUGAUUGAUAGCUUUUCAGUCGACUGCAAUGACCAUGGGGCUGCAUUUACUGGGGCUGCAAUUGUUGGCUGUGAUAUAUCAAAGUUUCUUCAACCACCAGAUAUGGAGCUGCUACUACAAUUAAUCCCACCUAGUCCCCAGUUAUCGAAUUUAGAUAUUUCUGAAAGAGAACUUUUGGCAGUCCAAGUAAAUUUGUUCAGCGGCGGUGAAAUGGCAAUUGGUGUUUGUUUUUCGCAUGGAGUGGCCGAUGGUUCAGCAAUAUUUAACUUCAUGAAAACGUCGGGCGAAAUCACUCGUGGGGUGAUUAAUGAUAAUGAUAAUAUUUUCAAUAACAAUGUCGUUUUAGAUUGCACUUCUUUGUUUCCGCCGGUAAAUUUUCCGAAGCCGUAUCAAAUCGUCACAAGCCCACAAUCUUCAGGCAACAUUGUAUUCAAAAGAUUGUUGUUUGAUAGCAAGAAGAUAGCAGCUCUAAAGGAGAAGAUGAAUAAAGAGCUAAUGGGUAAUAAUUUUGAUGAUAGGUUACAAGCAACACGAUUCGGGGUUGCAUCAGCACUCAUUUGGGGUGCCUUCAUUGCUAUUGCUGGGGAAAGAAAGAGGGAAAUUCAUAACAAGUUGUAUUCUCAUGCUAUGUAUUAUACUAUGAAUGUGCGUAACAAGACGAAUCCACCGAUGAUUCCACGGUGCAGGGGUAACAUUUUUUGGUUUGCAAGGGCAGAAUGGUCACUAGCCGAGAAUGAUGCCAUAAAGGUAGCAAGUUUAGUAAGAGAAGUGAUCAAAGCAAAGAGAAUGGGAGGAGAAGUGAUGCAUAGUAAUGAGCACUUAGGUUUCAUAAAGGAUAUGGAAGAAACAUGGGAGGAUUCAAGGUCGUUUGUUUUAACUAGUGUGGUUGGAUUGCCUUGUUAUGAAGUUGAUUUUGGCUGGGGGAAGCCUGUUUGGUUCAGUGUCGGGCCCUUCUUAUUACUUGAUUUUGCAAUUUUAUCAAGCUCAAGCGAUGGUGAAGGAAUAGAAGCAUGGGUGGUAAUGUUUAAGGAGGACAUGGAUAAAUUUGAACAAGAACCUAGCAUCAAGGCUUAUGCUUCCUCUAACCCUAGCAUAUUUAUAGGGAAGUAGGAAGUUAAUUUUAUGUAUGUUGCUUUGAAUAAAAGAGUUUUUUUUCCUAAAUAGAGUAAUGAUGAUAUGCUUAUAAAGUUAAAAAUAUGUUUGUUUUACAAUAAUUAUAUCUUGUUAUUGUCAUAUGUCUCUUUAAAUAAAAUCAUGUUAUGAAUGCAUACUUUCUUUCUUUCGAUCAAUGAAACCCACCAACCAUUUUGAUGGUUAUUUUGGACAACGAGAAGGGGAGGAGGAAAAAAAAAUAAAAAUGAAUGUGAUGUAGUUAUUUUGGAUAAGCAUAGCUUCAUAUAGAUGAUUUCGAUAAAUAAAAAAUGUGAAUCAAUUCUGAAUUUGCCAAAUAAAAUGUAUGUGAUGUAGUUUUUUAUCAAGGCAACCAGCAUCUGUGACCAUUGUGUGUUAAAUCUUAAUGGGCACUGAGCCCAUUUGUGAAUAACCGUAAGAACCAUGCUAUUUCCCUCUCCCAGUCCUCACAUUGCCUCUGAAAAGGCAGUGGCUAUUCACCCAACGUUAUUUCUUAUUAAUAAUCCCCACUUUUAUUCCACUGCAAGCAAUUUAAGGAAUCAUAUCGUAUCCAAUUCCUUGCAGAAUUAAAAUUUUCUUUAUCUACUGAGUAUCCAAAUCCUUGAAGAACUAACUAUUUUCUUUCUUUGUACAACUUCUUUUAUCAGUUACAUUAAUUGGUUUAUUAGUUAAAAAAUAAUAAUAAUAAUCACGUGAUCUGCUAAUCUAUUUCCAGAAAAUAAUUCAUUUGUUUUCGAAAAAUAAAUUGAACAAGUACUUAAUAUCGUAAAGGGUGUUAUUGUUUUAAAGGGUAGUUACUGGCAAUCGCGCUCUACUGCCGAUAGCUGAAGACUAAUUAUAAUGUCAUAAUUGAAACCAAGAAAAGCCUUCAAGUCCGCACGAACGUCUAGGAAAGGAGGACACGCGUCCUUUUGUAGAGCAGCGACUGUAUCAGACACUCCCAAAGGCCCAAAGGCAACUGGAACUGAUCUAGCACAACUCAUGAUAAAAGUACAAAAUAUUGUAUAAUUUUUUUAUGGGGCAGGUUCAAUAAGGUUUGAGAAGACAAAAAUAUAAACACAAUUUUUUACAAUAAUUUUGAGUCAUUAGAUUAAACAAAAAAUGAAUGGUUACAAUUAAAUGACGUGAUUGUAUUAAUAUCAGUAAUAAUUUUUUUUCUCUCUUUUCUCAUUAAUACUCUAUUCUCUCUCAUCCUUCUACUGAAUUUGUUAUCUCUCUCCCCUAGUUCUCCACCUCCUACGAAGAAAAACCAAGAGCAAUUGCAAAUAAUUGAAUAACUUUUUCUUUCCAAAUGACAAAUCAUUUAUCCAGAGAGCUCCUUCAUGAAUGUGAAGCAUACGGAAAUCAUUCAAAUCUGAGUACAUUUAGCUAUAAGCAAGUUUCCUUAGUGCUACGAGAAUCCACCAUUAAUGCAUUUGUGACGGAGCAGGUGUAGCGGAAGUAGAAUUGAUAGGGUCGAUAAUAUUAGAUAUCGUUCUAAUAUUGUACAUCGAAGCGUGAUUAGUUCUUAUUUUAAUUAAAAAAAACUCAGUGAGAUUUUAAUAAUGCGUAAAGUGAGAUUAGAUGAUAUUCUAAUUCAAACAACUCUAUAAGAGAGUUUUUUUUUUUUUAUAGAUAAUCCCAAUAGAAAAAAGGGAUUUUAUUGAAUAAUUGAAGUUGAAGUUAUCAAAGCAAUAACAAGACCUCCCUAUUUAUAAUAGAGAAAGCCUACUUCUCUAAAUUAACUUAAAAAUGAAAACUAAAUCACAAUUAUAAUAGAAAUAAAAGAUUAAGAUACAUACCUUAAUUGAUUCUAAUUAUAGAAAAUCCUAAAAUAAUAAAAUUCUUGAAUCCUAAAAUAACAUGCUAUGUCAGUCUCACCCUCUUAAAAGAAAAUCGUCCUCAAGUUUGAAUACAAUCUGAGGAUGAAACUUGUAAUGUAAGACCAAAUCAUCUUGUAAUUUGAACCUAUAGUCUUUGUCAUCAAUCUUUGUCGAAACUUUGAAGGAUUUAUACUUCAUCAAUUUCCUUUGCUUAUACAUUCUUCGAGGCGAUGAAGACUUCAAGAGCGAACAAUGAUCAAAUAACUCUUAACCUUCCCUAUUUGUCGCUCAAUAUGCUUUCCAACAAAUUUUACCUUUCAAAUUAAAUCUUUGCAAACACAACCUUCUUGUCCAUAAUGUAAAUCCGUAGAACCAUUUCGAUCAUUGCAGUUUCUUCAACUUGAUUUUACUACACAACCUCGAUCGUAUUGUUAGGCUUAAUGCUCAAAUCAAGAGUAGGUUGUACUUCUUCUUUAAUAAUAUCUUCAUCUUAGAAAUUGUCUUUUCUUCCGGCAUCUCACACGAGUCUUCUUCCUUAACGACAGGUGGAAAUCAUUGGUACAUCUUUAGGCAUUCUCAUAGAGACACCAUUUUUUGAUUUAAUCUUUGGUUUCUUCAAUUCUUUAAUCACGUCAUUAAAGCUUCUUUUACACUGUGUCUCGAUUUGUGACUUGAUUUGUGUGCUAAAUAAAUUGCAUGUUAUAAAGUGUAGAUAGUGUAUGUAGGCAUCUUAUUUUGAAUUGAAAAGCUUAGCCCCCUAAAAGACCUUGUAAUUAUAUCCUCUUCAAGUUUAUAAUAAUAUUUGCAUCCAUAAAAUUAUUUAAACUCAUAAGCAUAAAAUCAGAUCGCAAAAUAUGCUUCAUAUGGUUCCAUGAUCAAAUUUUGCAUUUGCCUCGGUCAAGUCAAGAAUAUUACAAUUGUUCCCACCAUUCUGAAACACUAAAUCUCAAUUUACAAACAGUAAAUGAAAUUUGUUUUUCUUUAGGAGUACGCAAAACUACAAACCAAUGUUCAACCUUGUCCAACCAACCAAGAAAUUUCUCAGGACGAGUGUGUGCAAAUAAGUCCGACACAUGAUAAAUAGAAGGUAUGGACAAUAGUUUGCCAUUAAUUAUCAAGUUUCCAGACAAUUUCAAAACUCUAAAUAAUGCUCAACUCUUGCAUUUGGUGUCGUUGGCGGUUGGUUGCCAUGUUUUGGACGAGGGGCGUUGGAUCUAGAACAGACAAUAGCUCGGAGCAAGUUCAUGUCGGCUGUGACAAUCAACUUGUGUCAAUUUGAUCGAAAAAGUAACUUGAAGCAAUGGCGACUUAUAGUAAGUGUGGCUGUGAUUCAUGGCGGUUUAUAGCGGAGUUGGCUGUGAUUUGGCUGGUGGUGGUUGGUGAAAGAAAUUCUAUGAAGAGUAUAAUUCUUGUUCUGUAAUUUUAAUGAAUUUUACAGAGUUAUUUAUACAAAAUAAAGACAAAGUAACUGUUGAAAGGCUUAAUAAUAUUAAAGGAAAAUAAGUAACUUCCUAAACUAUUGCACAAUAUCUUUAUAAAAUAGGAAUGAAAUAUUCCUACAUGAUAUUGGCAUUCAAGUGUAAAAAUCGUGCUGGAGAUAUUCCUUGACAAAUAGCUUUGACGUGAGCAAGCUGUGUGGAGUGAUAAACCCUUUGUUGACUUGACCGUUGAUGACUUUCCUUUUGGUAAUCUUGGUCAGCUUGCUUAACAUCCCCCCUCAAGCUGGCAAGUGACAUUUGAUGAACGCCAAGCUUGUAUCUGAAAUCGCGGAACAUGGCUUUUGACAAAGCCUUAGUAAAAACGUCUGCAAUUUGUAACGAAUAAGGGACAAACCUCGUAACCAAGGCACCAUCAGCAACCUUUUCUCUAAUGAAGUGAUAAUCUAAUUCAAUAUGCUUCGAGCGAGCAUGAACUUCGUAACCAAGGCACCAUCAGCAACCUUUUCUCUAAUGAAGUGAUAAUCUAAUUCAAUAUGCUUCGAGCGAGCAUGAAAGACUGGGUUAAUAGUCAUAUACAAGGCACUUAAAUUAUCACUUAAAAUUUGUGGAGGUUGAGCAAGAGGAAUGCCAAUUUCUCGGUACAGGUAUGUGAUCCAUGUGAGUUCUGCUGCUGUAGAAGCAAGGGCUCGGUACUCAGCUUCAGCACUGGAUCUAGAGACAGUUGGCUGUCGUUUUGAAGACCAUGAGAUGCAAUUUGCACCCAUAUAGACACAAUAUCCCGUGGUACUUCUCCGAGUGUCUGGACAGCCUCCCCAAUCAGCAUCACAAAAGGCAGUAAUAUUAAGAGAGCUUUGUUGGAGAAAUCUGAUCCCAUAAUCCAAGCUCCCUUUUAAGUACCUGAGAAUACGUUUAACAGCACGUAAAUUAGCCUCAGUGGGUGUUUGAAAAUGUUGACAUACCUUAUUGACUGCGUGAACGAUGUCCGGCCUUGUUAGAGUGAGAUAUUGGAGCCCUCCAACUAAUCGUCUAUAUUCGGUUGCAUUGACGGGCUUGUGAUCAAUGGGGUUGGCUUGUUCUUUGAUGGCCAUAGGAGUUGACAAACUAGUGCUUUCUAGCAUCUUUGCUUUGGUCAGUAAGUCUUUGGUGUAUUUGGUUUGAGAAACAUAAAUACCUCCAGAGAAAUACCGAAUCUCAAGUCCUAAGAAGAAAUGGAGCUGUCCCAAAUCCUUUAAAGCAAACUCAAUGCUUAGUUGAUGAAUAAGUUGGUCAAUUAAAAAAGUAUUGUUGCCUGUCACCACUAUAUCAUCAACAUAAAUUAGCAUUAGGAUUAAUGAGUCAUUAUUAUGAAAUAUAAAUAAGGAAGAGUCGGCUUUACUGCAUAUGAAACCCAAUUGAAGUAAAUAAUGAGAAAGCCUAUCAAACCAAGCACGGGGUGCUUGUUUAAGACCAUACAAGGACUUGUUAAGCUUACACACAUAAUCAGGAUAUAAAGGAUUAGAGAAACCAGGAGGUUGUUCCAUAAAAAUAGUUUCUUUUAAAAAACCAUGUAAAAAAGCAUUUUUAACAUCAAGUUGUCUCAUGGUCCAAUUUAAUGUUACAGCAAGAGAAAAAAUUAACCGAAUUGUGGUAGGUUUAAUCACAGGACUAAAGGUUUCUUCGAAAUCCAAACCUGGAAUUUGUGUGUAUCCUUGUGCUACAAGACGCGCCUUGUAUUUGUCUAUGGACCCAUCUUCCUUAAACUUAGUUCGAUACACCCAUUUUGAUCCCACUAUGUUUGUAUUCACUGGCCUUGGUACCAAACUCCAUGUAUUAUUCUGAUGGAGAGCAUCAAGCUCUUCUAACAUAGCUGUGCGCCAAUGAGGUUGUCGAAUGGCGGUUUUGAAGUGUUUUGGCUCUAUUGUUGUAGUAAGAGCCAUUUUAUCAACCAACUCAGGGUGAUGACGCAACUUGUGUCUAGUUAUCAUUUGAUGAGUGUUGCUUGUUUCUGGCUCUUUUGGAAUACGAAGAUCUACAAAUAUAUCAAUGCCUUUAGUUGACUGAGGAGUAUUAGUUUCUAACUCCAAAUGAGUGCUGCCAGUUCCUAUAUUGUUCUCUGACUCUUGCUCAAUUAAAGUGAUAUCAAAUUCUUCAAAUGAUGCUGAGCUAGGGCUUAAGCUGGCUUGAUUAUCUGUAGAGGCUGAAUCGGUGUGGAUGACUAUAUCAUGAAUUUCACGUGGGACUUGUUGGCUUGUGUCCAAGUCAUGCAUGUUUGAGUUCAUUGUGUUUUGAAGACCUAUAGAGUUUGGAUUUGCAUGAGCAACUUGUUGUUGGUUUACGUGAAACUCAUGCUGGGCUUGCUGAAAUGGGGAGCUAUUUUCNNNNNNNNNNNNNNNNNNNNNNNNNNNNNNNNNNNNNNNNNNNNNNNNNNNNNNNNNNNNNNNNNNNNNNNNNNNNNNNNNNNNNNNNNNNNNNNNNNNNNNNNNNNNNNNNNNNNNNNNNNNNNNNNNNNNNNNNNNNNNNNNNNNNNNNNNNNNNNNNNNNNNNNNNNNNNNNNNNNNNNNNNNNNNNNNNNNNNNNNNNNNNNNNNNNNNNNNNNNNNNNNNNNNNNNNNNNNNNNNNNNNNNNNNNNNNNNNNNNNNNNNNNNNNNNNNNNNNNNNNNNNNNNNNNNNNNNNNNNNNNNNNNNNNNNNNNNNNNNNNNNNNNNNNNNNNNNNNNNNNNNNNNNNNNNNNNNNNNNNNNNNNNNNNNNNNNNNNNNNNNNNNNNNNNNNNNNNNNNNNNNNNNNNNNNNNNNNNNNNNNNNNNNNNNNNNNNNNNNNNNNNNNNNNNNNNNNNNNNNNNNNNNNNNNNNNNNNNNNNNNNNNNNNNNNNNNNNNNNNNNNNNNNNNNNNNNNNNNNNNNNNNNNNNNNNNNNNNNNNNNNNNNNNNNNNNNNNNNNNNNNNNNNNNNNNNNNNNNNNNNNNNNNNNNNNNNNNNNNNNNNNNNNNNNNNNNNNNNNNNNNNNNNNNNNNNNNNNNNNNNNNNNNNNNNNNNNNNNNNNNNNNNNNNNNNNNNNNNNNNNNNNNNNNNNNNNNNNNNNNNNNNNNNNNNNNNNNNNNNNNNNNNNNNNNNNNNNNNNNNNNNNNNNNNNNNNNNNNNNNNNNNNNNNNNNNNNNNNNNNNNNNNNNNNNNNNNNNNNNNNNNNNNNNNNNNNNNNNNNNNNNNNNNNNNNNNNNNNNNNNNNNNNNNNNNNNNNNNNNNNNNNNNNNNNNNNNNNNNNNNNNNNNNNNNNNNNNNNNNNNNNNNNNNNNNNNNNNNNNNNNNNNNNNNNNNNNNNNNNNNNNNNNNNNNNNNNNNNNNNNNNNNNNNNNNNNNNNNNNNNNNNNNNNNNNNNNNNNNNNNNNNNNNNNNNNNNNNNNNNNNNNNNNNNNNNNNNNNNNNNNNNNNNNNNNNNNNNNNNNNNNNNNNNNNNNNNNNNNNNNNNNNNNNNNNNNNNNNNNNNNNNNNNNNNNNNNNNNNNNNNNNNNNNNNNNNNNNNNNNNNNNNNNNNNNNNNNNNNNNNNNNNNNNNNNNNNNNNNNNNNNNNNNNNNNNNNNNNNNNNNNNNNNNNNNNNNNNNNNNNNNNNNNNNNNNNNNNNNNNNNNNNNNNNNNNNNNNNNNNNNNNNNNNNNNNNNNNNNNNNNNNNNNNNNNNNNNNNNNNNNNNNNNNNNNNNNNNNNNNNNNNNNNNNNNNNNNNNNNNNNNNNNNNNNNNNNNNNNNNNNNNNNNNNNNNNNNNNNNNNNNNNNNNNNNNNNNNNNNNNNNNNNNNNNNNNNNNNNNNNNNNNNNNNNNNNNNNNNNNNNNNNNNNNNNNNNNNNNNNNNNNNNNNNNNNNNNUGUAAUCAAAAUUUAUACCAAAAAGUUUGUAAAAGGGAGUCUUCAUAUUUAAAGUGGACGAAGGUAGCUUAUUAAUAACAUAAACAGCAGUAGAAAAAGCAUCAACCCAAUAUUGUAAUGGCAUAUUUGCAUGAAAGAGCAUUGUCAAACCUGUUUCUAUAAUAUGUCGGUGUUUCCUUUCGGCAACACUAUUUUGUUCAGGAGUUGCAGGACAUGACAAUUGAUGUUGUAUUCCACAUUGACUGAGAUGACUUUGAAAUUCAUUUGAUAUGAAUUCACCUCCUCCAUCACUUUGAAAUAAUUUUAUCCUCUUGUCGAAUCGAUUUUCAACCUGUUUCUGAAACUUGAUAAAAACAUCAAAUAAAUCUGAUUUAUUUUUCAAAGGGUAUAGCCAUGUAUAACGUGUGCAGUCAUCAACAAAGAUAGCAUAAUAUCUAAAACUUUGAACAGAAGAAAUAGGAGCAGGACCCCACAAGUCGCAGUGAAUUUUAUGUAAAGGAACGCUGGAAAUUUUAUUGGAAAAAUUAAAAGGAAGUUUGCAGUUCUUUCCCAUUUGACAACUGGAACAUACAUAAUCUUUCGUAAUCCAAUUUGAAACAUCAAUAAGUUUGUUUUUAUUCAAAAACUUAAUGGACUUGAUUUGGGGGUGUCCCAUUCUUUGAUGCCAUAUGUUGUAAGGUGCUUUCCUGCCUUCAGAUAAGUAUAGGGCUGCAUGAUGUCCUUCAUCUAAAGCAUAAAGCCCUUUUGUCUUAGUUCCCUUUGCCAAGAUGUUUCCCUGAUAAUCCUUAACAACAAACUUGUUAGAUGAAAACUCAAUAAUGCAUGAAUUAUCAUGUGUGAGCUGCUCUACCGAAAGUAAAUUAUUUUUCAAGCCUGGAACCACAAGCACAUUUUUUAAAUAUAGUUUACUAAUGCCAGUGUCUAUGGAGGUGUUUCCUAUAUGUGAAAUAUUAAGACAAUCGCCAUUUCCAACAACAAUGGCAUCAUUCCCUUCAUAAGGUUUAAGUUCAGAAAUUUUACCUGGAUCAUUGACCAUAUGGGUAGUUGCUCCUGAGUCAGCAUAUCCGUCAACAUUCAAUGGCUGUAUGUUUCGGUAAAUGACAAAUUUGACAUAUGACAGUUUCUUCAUUGACUUCCUCAGCUUGUUGUUUGGAUUGAUUCUGAAUUUUCUGCCAAGGCUGUCCAGAAUUAUUUUGCCGAGGUUGCUGCCACUGUUGUCCCGAAUUUCCUUGCCAUGAUUGUUGCCCUUGUUGACUUGGAUUAUUGUUUGAUUUUUGCCAUGACUGACUUGCAUUAUUAUUCCAACUUUUUCCACCAUUGUAGUUGAUUUUUUGACCACUUGAAUCAGCCAAAUUUUGUCCUCCUGCUGCUGUAAAACCACGACCUUUUGAGUUAAAGAAACCUCCAUUUCCACGACCUUUUCCCUUGCCUCGUUGGCUAAAAAAGGCUUGAGCCAGAUUGAUUGUAUUCUUCUUUUCUUCUUCAAAAUUAAUAAGAGUUUGUUCAUGAUUUUCGAGGGCCAUGACAAACUGCUUAAAUGAGGGAUAAGGUGGUUUUGAAAGUUGAGCAAGUUUGAAGUCUUGAUACCUGUAGCCAAGACCUCUUGCAAGACCAAAGACUUUAUCUAAGUCAUUCACUGGUUUAUUUAUUGCAGCCAAACAAUCACAAAUAUGCUUGUAUUUGCGCACAUACUCUUCAACUGAUAGAGAUCCCUUUUUAAACCGAGAGAAUUACUAUAUUUACACAAUUAACCUUGGCUAGAAUUAAUUGUGCAGAUUGGAUGAUAACUAGAGAAUAGAAAUGAAGAAAAGGAAGCACACAACACCGAGAAGAGUAAUAAUUAAUGCUGCCAUUGACGAAAUGUUUUAUAUUACUCUUCUUUCUUGGUAUUUAUUUAUUUACAAUUUUUAAUGUAAAUGUACAGUUGUUGGGCUAAUAUCUUAUUUACUUUUGAACGUAUUAGAUGCCUUUUUUUUUUCUUGGUUCAUAAUAAUUUUGUAGAAAUUCCUCAAGUUUGCCUAAAUGUUUACAGAGUUAUUUAUACAAAAUAAAGACAAAGUAGCCGUUGAAAGGCUUAAUAAUAUUAAAGGAAAAUAAGUAACUUCCUAAACUAUUGCACAAUAUCUUUAUAAAAUAGGAAUGAAAUAUUCCUACAUGAUAUUGGCAUUCAAGUGUAAAAAUCGUGCUGGAGAUAUUCCUUGACAAAUAGCUUUGACGUGAGCAAGCUGUGUGGAGUGAUAAACCCUUUGUUGACUUGACCGUUGAUGACUUUCCUUUUGGUAAUCUUGGUCAGCUUGCUUAACAGUUGGUGAGUAUAAUGGUGGUCAUAUAAAUCCUUUUUCAUUUUUUUUUAAUUGUUGUAUGGAGAAAAAGAGAGAAAAGCAAAAAUUGGGCUGUCGACUACAUAACUCGCUGGGAUAUAUGUACGUUAAGGAAAAUUCUAUGAUACCGUGAUCAAAAUUACAUAUCAAUACUGUGAUAAAUAUAAAUUUUGUAAAUUACAAAUAACACUAUUAAAUGAAAUAUAGAAUAAGUAAAUUAAUAUAAGAGUUGGUGUUUUAAAACUACAAACAAAAAAACUUAUAAAAAUAAUAUAAAACUUAUAAAUCAACAUUAAACUUUGACCUAUAAAAUAGCUAAUCUAAUUUAUUUAAGUAAAAAAAAAAUCACUCAUCAAUUGAAAACAAAAAUUUACAUUGGAAACAAUUAGAAUAAGUUUUAUUAAAUUGGUUUAACUAUAAAUUCUAUAUCUCAUGUUAGGAAAUUUAUAAUUUUUUUUUCAUUUUCUAUCACAAUAUAUGUUUAUUAUAUAACUUAAUUAGUAAAAUUAUUUUUUUUAUGAGGAUCAAGCCAAAAAAAAAUAAAAUAAUUUUUUUAAAAAUUUAAAUUUGAGAAUAAGUUUUAUCUUAAUAAAAUUUCACAUGCAUCAUCACAUGUAUUAGAUAAAUCCAAAAUUAUCAUUAUUUAAUUUAGAAAUAAAGACAAUAAAUAUAUAAGGUAAUCGUUUUUAUAUUGAGUUUUUAUUUUACAUUUGCAAGUUUUUAUUUUUUAUUAACUUUUAUAUUAUUUGUUUGUUUUAUAUUUCAUUUACAAGUCUUCUAUUUCAUUUACAUAAUUUAUAUAUUAUUUGGCACUUAAUUUUGGUUUAUAGGAUUUACGUUAUAUCUAUAAGUUUAUAUUCAUUUGUUUACCAAUAAUACAUCAUUCUACCAUUCAUAUAUUAAUUAACUUAUUUUACCUUCUAUUUACAAGUCCCUUUUUUUUUACUUAAUUCAUGUUUUAUUUUACACUUAAUAUUAAUUUAUAAGUUUUAUGUUAUAUUAAUAAGUUUUGUUUUAUUUAUCAAUAAUAUAUCAAUUUACAACUCCUUUAUUAAUUUAUUUAUUUUACCUUUCAUUUACUAGUUUUAUGUUCCAUUUGCACGAUUUAUAUUUUAUUUUGCACUUAAUAUUGAUUUAUAAGUUUUAUGUUACAUGUAAAAAAAAAAAUAUUUAUCAGCAAUACACAAAUUUACCACUCCUAGUUAAUUUAUUUGUUAUACCUUCUGUUUACAAGAGUUAUGUUCUAUUUACAUAAUUUAUGUUUUGUCUUGUACUUAAUGUUGAUUUACAAGCUCUAUGUUAAAUUUGCAUAUCUAUGUUUCAUUUAAACAAUUUAUGUUUAACUACAAUAUUGAUGUUUUGAUUUUAAUCACAACAUUAUAGAAAGACCCAUAAGCUAAGUUAACUCUAUUGAUCUCCUAUCAAAUAUCGUAAAUGACAUCAGAAGUCAAGUUUAGCUCCUAUGGUAACGAGUGUGAGUAGUGAGUCUAAGGAUGGAAAAUAUCCUGCCAUAUCUAAGAUAUUAUUUAUCCAAGUGUAAAUUCAUAAUUAUCCAUGAUGGAUUCAUCCAUAUCCAUGUCUAGUUCAGAUACUCUAUAUGGAUAUAGAUUUUAUCCAUAUAGAUAUGGAUAUCCAUGGAUGUCCAUGGACAUUAAAUUUAAAUUUUUAAAUUUGAGAAUUGUGUAACAUAUUAAUAUGGUAAAAACUAAUUAACAAUGUAUUACAUCAAGAAAUACUUCUCAUUUUUUUUAUAUUUCCUAAAAUCAUUAAUUUUAAAAUUUAAUCAAAAUUAUUUUGUUUAAAAACACAAUUCUAAAAUAAAAUUACAAGCAUUAAUGUUUUGGCCGGUUGCGCUAUGGUGGGCAAUAAUAAUGGUGGUCAACUAGUGACAAAUCUCAUACCAUUUGUUGAAAAUGUACUGAGGAUCUGGUUGGUUAAUAAGAAAAUAGAGGAAAAUGAGGAAGGAUGAAGAAAAGCUUGAGCUAAAAACUAAUUCAUUACUUCAGAACUUGAUUUCUAUAUUCUUUCUAAUGACUAAUAUAUAUACUCGAUUACAUGCUAGAAUCUAUUAUAAGAUUCAUCUAGAAACUUCACACACCACACACGGCUAGCAAACAUAGAUAACUAAUUGACCACGUCAGCAUAACUAAAGUUUACUAAGCUAUUGAUUGACUACAAUGCUUAUAGUGCUCUGCAAUAUAUCAAGACUCUAUAUCACCAUCAUCAUUACUAAACUCUCUAACAUCCCCCUUCAAGCUAAAUAAGUCUAGAAGAAUAUUUAGCUUGCACCUCAGAUAAUGAAAUUGGCCAUAAUUAAGAGCUUUGGUAAGAAUUUUAGCCGUUUGAUCAUUACUGGGAACAAAGUGAAUGCUAAACUGCUUGGCUGCAACUUUUUCCUGUACAAAAUGAAUAUCAAGUUCAACAUGCCUUUUUUUUUUUUAUGAUACACUGGAUUGUUGGCCAAGGCAAUGGCACCUUAGUUGUCACACCAAAAUAAUAGGCAUAUUGGACAGCUUAAAAUGCAACUCUAAUAACAAAGCUUGUAUCCACAUGAUUUCUGUAGUGGCGAAGGCUAAAGCUCGAUAUUUUGAUUCAGUACUUGAUCUAGAAACAACAUGUUAUUUUUUGGAUAUCCAUGUCACUAGAUUGUAACCAAGAAACAAAGCAUAGACAACAACUGAUUUUCUGCCAUAUCACAGGUCCAGUCAACAUCUGUAAAACACUAAAGAUCCAUAGUACCAUGCUGAUAAAAUUCCAAUCCAAAAUGAAUGGUGCCUUUGAGAUACCUUAGCAAUCUCUUGCAAGCUUGCCAAUGUUCUUCAGAUGUAUUAGAAAGGAAUUGACUCAAUUUAUUCACAGGAAAUGCAAUCUCAGGUCGAUGAAGAGUAAUAUACUGUAAUGCCCCAACAAUGCUUUUAUAUUGUGAAGCAUUAUUAAUAGCAGACCCUGAAUUCUUUGUAAGAUGAUGAGAAAGAGUCAUAGAAGUGAAGCAAGGACUACAGUUAGCCAUCUUAUGCUUCGCUAACAAGUAUGCAAUGUACUUGGCUUGUGACAAAUGUAGACUUUGAGUUGUUUUAGAAACCUGAAUCCCCAGAAAGUAAUUUAAAUCCCCUAAGCCUGUAAGAGCAAAUGUAUGUUGCAUGUUGGAGAUAACUUGAAGUACUAAGGAAGAAUUUGAGCCAGUGAUUAGUAUAUCAUCAACAUAUACCAGAACUAACAAAAUAUCAAAACCAUGUCGUUUAUAAAACAAUGAAAAAUAUGAUCUGCAAUUAAGAAAAUGCCACUGGUUUACCAUAGAAUAUUUAAGUCUCUCAAAUCAAGCUCUUGGAGCUUAUUUGAUACCAUAAAGAGCUUUAGUAAGCUUACAAACAUGAUGUGGCUUGGCUGGAUCAAUAAAACCUUCUGGCUGAGUCAUAUACACUUCUUUUUUAAGAAAACCAUUUAAAAAAGCAUUAUGUAGAUCAAUUUGUCUAAUCAUCCAUUUUUGUAUGCCAGCUAUGCUAAGAACAAUUCUAAUUGUUGAAGCUUUCACAACAGGACUGAAUGUCUCAUUAUAAUCUACCCCUUGAGUUUAAGAAAAAUCCUUUGGCUACAAGUCUAGCCUUUAUAUCUAGAGACACUGCCAUCUGAAUUAUAUUUAAUCUUGAAUACUCAUUUGAUGCCUAUAAUCUUGAUAGGGGAAGAGGGUUGAACUAAUAUCUAGGUCUGAUUUGCUUGUAAGGAGUUAAAAAAACUAAUGUCUAGGUCUGAUUUGCUUGUGAGAAGUUAAAUUCUUCUUGCAUAGUCUUAUACCACUUUGGAUCUGCUAACACUGAACUACAGAAGUGGGUUAUGAUAGAGUAGUAAGUAGAGCUGCUAUAUAGGAUUUUUGUUUAAAAAUCCCAGCCUUAGACCUGGUAAUCAUGUGAUAACUAGAAGGUUGAGUUCAAGGAAAAAUAUGUGGUGGUGAGGGAAUAAGUAAGGACUCAUUAAAGUCAGUUUGAGAAAGUGGUAAAGGUAAAGACUCAGUCUGAUCAUUUAAUGGAGAUUAAUGAAAAGAAUGAGAAAAUUGUGAAUCAAGCAAAAUAGUAUAAGAAAUAGAAGGAGUUACCUGAGAAGUGGAAGGAACUUGUGAACUAUUUGUUGAGGAGGGCGUUAAGAAGACUCGUAUUAGUGGAGUUAAAACAGCAGUUGUGGAUUGCGAAACUAAGCUGGUUGAAUCAAAAGAACUAUGAUAAACUAAAGAAAAAUCAACCCCUUGCUAGUAACGAAAAGAAGUCUCUUCAAAGACAACAUGAUUAGACACAUAAAUUCUUCCUGAAGAGUGUAAGAAUUGGUAUCCUUUAUGAUGAGGACUCUAUCCAAUGAAAAUACAUCUUCUUAUUCUAAAUUCCAGCUUAUGUCUGUUAUAUGGUCUCAAAUAAAGAAAACAAAAGCAACCAAACACUCUUAACAAACUAUAAUAAGGUUUUUAAUGAAAGAGCUUGAAAUAAGGUGAUUCGUUUUGAAGAACAUGUGUUAGCAGCCUAUUAAUAAGAUACAUUGUUGUGUGGAAUGCAUUCCACCAAAAAGUGAGAGGAAGUUUAACUUGAGCUAGUAAAGUGAGUCCAAUAUCAACUAUAUGUCUAUGUUUCUUUUCAACUCUACCAUUUUGGUGAUAAAUGUGAGGGUAUGGAUGUCUGAAAUGUAUCCCAGAAGAUAAGAGCAGAGAAGAAAAAGAUAUGAACUCUCAUGAAAGUCUUAAAGGUUGUAAAUACCCUCAAGGCAUCUGAUUUAGCUGUUAAGGGAAAAAUCCAAGUAAACCUGUUGUAAUCAUCUAAAGUAGACAAAUAAUAGAAAUAACCUUGAGUGGAUGCAGUAGAAGAUGGCCCCCAAACAUCAGCAUACAAAAGCUAUAAAAGUUUAGUUGUUUUUAUGUUGAAAGAGUUAAAAUAUUGAAGAUGACUUUUUCCAUACUGACAUGUAUCACAAAAGCUAAGUAUUGAGAUUUUAUUUAUAUCAGCAAAUUGAUUACAAGAUUUCAAAACACAUUUAAGUGUAUGAACAGCUGGAUGUCCUAGCCUUUUGUGAAGCAAAUCUACAUUAUUGGAACUAGAAGACACUGUGAAAGCAGCAGGAGUACAACACUAAUUGUUUAUUUUGAAAUGAUCAUAAGAAAAACAAACAGACAUAGCAGGACCAAACAGACAAGCAAAACGAGACAUUGGUUUGUUUUGAGCUAAGUAAGAAAAGAAGGCUGAAUUUAAACUUUGAGAUGAGGAAGAUAGGCUGACUUUAUUAGAUGCUGCUUAAACUUAAUACAAGCCUUUGUGAGCCACCCCUUUAACUAGAGUAAUCCAUGUGUUCCUGGCCUUGAUAUACUAAACAUUAUCAACAAAUUCAACAAGAACAUUGUUAUCAAUUAAUAAUUUAGACACACUAAGCAAAUUUUUAGUUAUGUGAGGAACAUGAAGAACAUGAUGCAGUACUAGAUGUUCAUGAGUAUAAGUAUCAAACAAAACAGAUCUAGUGUGUGUGAUUUGUAGGCCUUUGUCAUCACCAAAAAGCAAUCUCCUAAACCAAUAUAACCAUGAGAGUUAAGUAAUAUACCUGAGUUGUUGGUGCCAUAAGCUGAGGCACCACUGUCUAUAUACCAGAAAUGAUCUUCUAUAACUUCAGGUGAAGGAAGAUUAAGAGCAGAAGGGUUAGCAAACCUUGCUGAAAUGUCAGAAACACCAUUCUGGCAAUUAAAAGCUGCUAGUGGAGAGAUUGAAGAACUAGCUCCAGGAUGAGAAAACAUAGAAGUAGAUCCAUAAAGGAUUUAAAUCUGGAUAUACCAAAUUUCCUUGAAAAUCAUAACCUCUUGUGCCAAACUGUCCAUUAAAACCUCUACCAAAUCCAAUAAAGGAUCUAAGCACAAAACCUCUGCUAUAGCCAUAAGUUGGCCUAUAAUUUCCUCUACCUCCUCUACCAUAGAAUGUUUUAGGCACAAAAGCUGGAUUAAACAUGCUUUUGCAUUUAUGUGCUCUAUGUCCUGGCAUAAAACAAAUCUGACAGACUAUUGAUUCAAAAUUACUUUCACUGUUAUUAGGUUGUCCUGGAUUUGUCACAUCUCUAUUAAAACCUUUUUGAUUACCAAAAUUAUUCUUAUAUUAACCUUGAUUUUCUUGAGCAAAAUUUACAGUCAGAUUAUGUACAACAUCAGAAUUAAGCUUGCUUCUUUUUUUUUUCUGUUCAAUCCUCAUCUCAUGACUCAAUAAUAAAUCAUACAAGUCAUCUAAAUUCAUACUUUCACCUCUAGCUAACAAGCUCGUAACAAGUGAAUCAUACUCCUAAGAUUCUAAUCCUAUCAUUAUGUAUAUAACUAGAUCCAUAAGCUCAACAAGUUUCCCAUCGAGAGUAUCAGCUAACCUUUUCAUUUUAGCAAAAUAUGCACUCAAAGUCAUUGAACCUUUUUUAGCAAUUUAUAAUUGCAUUUUAAUUGGCAUAAUUCGAGCUUGAGUUUGAGAAACGAACAUAUAAGUUAAUGAAUCGCACAACUCUUGUGAUAAAGCACAGCGAAUGACUGAAGAUAAAAGACUCUCUUGAAUUGAGGACAUCAUCCAACUGAGUAAUAUCUGAUAUGUUCUGAUCCAUGUUGAGAAUGCAAGAUUAUCAAUUCUUGAUCCAGAUCCAUCAUUUGAUCAGCCAGUUGCACCUGUAUUUUGAUAGAGAUAUUGAUCUGGACAUUUGUUUUCUCUAGGAUAAAACCUUAUGUUAAGACUUUUAAGCCUAAAUCACAACAAGACUCACGAAUCUUGAUGAGUAGAAACACCAAGAACACAAACGAAUCAAGAAAGCCAGAACAAAGAAGCUAUACCAGAAACAAAACAAAGACACAGACCAACAAAUUUAGAAGGAAAAUUUACUCAUUAUUAUUGAUCAAGAACUAACCCAAUCACAAGUGAUUUACAGAAGAUUAUGCACAGAUCACAAUGGAACAGAUUCUAUGCAAAAUGAUGAACAAAUGAAGACGAUAUUAGCACUAUAUCAGGCACCACUCGUUAGCCUCUGUUUUAUAUCAGUGUGUUGGGUUCGUUAUAACAGAUUAUAACGAAUCCAUGCCACGUCAGCAGAAAGUAUCAAAUAGACCCCAUCAACUGAAGUCAAUCUGCACAACAGCUCUCUACCUUUCCAGUUUCUUCAUUUAGGUCCACAUACACAUAUCUUCACACCUUCUAGUCCAUUGCCUUUGAUUGAUGUGAGAACUUGAGUUCUCCAGACAAUGAAAUUAUUUGAUCAAAUUUUAUUGGUGUGACGAAGUUAUAGGAGUUCAUAUUUUGAUUUUGAUUAUUAGAAAGCUCUGAUACCAUGUUGAAAAUGUAUUGAGGAUAUGUUUGGUUAAUAAGAAAAUAUAGGAAAAUGAAUAAGGAUGAAGAAAAGCUUGAGCUAAAAACUAAUUCAUUACUUCAGAACUUGAUUUCUAUAUUUUUUCUAAUGACUAAUAUAUAUACUCGAUUACAUGCUAGAAUCUAUUAUAAGAUUCAUCUAGAAACUUAUCACACUACACACGGCUAACAAAGAUAGAAUCUUAUAACUAACUGACUACGUCAACAUAACUAAAGUUUACAAAGAUACUGACUGACUACAAUGAUUAUCAUGCUCUGCAAUACAUCAAGACUCUAUAUCACCAUCAUCAUUACUAAACUCUCUAACAUUGAACUCAAAAUUUUUUAUCCAUGCAAUGAUAUAGAUUUCAUCAUCAAAUACUAAAUGUGGCGGCUCGAAUGCCACCGAAAAUGGUGGCGGCAACUUGACUCCACCUUCUAAGCAAUUCAAUGAAGUGCAGCACCGCCUAAAUCAACAUCAUUGACGUUCGAAGUGUUUGAUCGACAUUACGGUAUCCAGCACCAUAUGGUCGUUUGAUGCCGGUGUUAUGUAUCCACCACAAUUUUUUGUGGCACUUGUGCCAUCAGUAUUUUGUUUUGACUAACAAGUUUAUGAGUUUAGAAGUAAUAACUGAUUUUGAUAUCUUUUCGAUCAUCCGCCAAACUUCUUCUUCUCUCAGGGGUAAAAAAUUUUGCACAUUGCUAACUAGAUGAAUGGCCAUAUUUUUCUUGUCUUUCUUCAAUACUCAUUGUAGGGUGAAAGUGCCAUUUUGCCAAAUCUUUAAGCAAUUGUAAGAUAGCUUCUAUUGUGCUAGUAGGGUGUGGCCUAGUACAAAAUUGAAGGUCAUGGGUUCUUAAUAUCUCUUUAUCCAUUGUUGCUAAGGUAACUGUUAAAGUCAUGGCUGGCACCGCCCAUUUAAAUGAGCGGUGCCAUGCCAUUCAACAUGGCCCGCCAUUCUUGGUGGUGCCGUGUUGACUUAUUAAAAAAAAACCAAAAUUUUAGCUAUAUAAAGAGGGCUUCCCACCCUCAUUUUGGCAUCCCAUUGAGAGAGAAGCAAUUCAACAUUUUAGAGAGAGAGUUUAGAGAGCUUGAAACUAUAAGCUCUUGUUAUAGUGAUUUGAGAGAUUAGGUGUAUUGGGUAAUGAGAUAAAAUACCACAAUACUUGUAACUCCUUUUCACUAAUAAAAUAUUUUCCUUCUGUCUUCGCCCGUGGACGUAGGCUAAAAGCCUAAUCAUGUAAUUUCUAGUGUUAUUUGUAUGAUUUUGUGUCUCAUUAUUUCUAAAUUUCACUUUAGUUGUGUGUCUGUUUCACCCAUCAAUUUCCCAACAAUAACCACUAGGGUUGGACAAAACCAAGAUGAAUAAGAGGGCCAUAUUUUUUAGAUAGUUACCAAAAUGACACGAGACUUUGAGAAAUAAAACUGGUGUAAGUUGAUGAUAAAGGGGAGCCCUAACGAAAUUGAAAACAACUUUUAGUUUUUUUUUAAAAACGAAUUGUUAACAAUCUACAGAUAUAUAUACUCUCUGAAACCUAAUGGGAUUCUAGAUACAUGUAGUAAAACACUAAAACUCUAGAUACAGGUACGUAAAAUCUACUUUUUUCUUUUGAUGUUUUUACCCUAGAUACAUGAGUUCGAAAAAUAGUUGACGUAGCGAUCGUACUAGUGAACGUUGAAAAAAUGAGCAGAAAAUGAUAAAAUUAGACAUAAAGGAGUUUUAUCGUUUUUCGUUUAUAUAAUUACAUUUAUUCGUUUAUAGGUUGGGAGAACGACUUUCGAGUUACUAAUAAAGGUCUUUGUCAUGUGACUUACCAAGCAAAUAACUUAUUAAAAUGGCAAUUAUUGAUCACUUAAUUUAACUAGUCGAGCUUCGUGGUGAUGCAGGAAGCUGGUCGUCAAGCUGAUCUCAUAGGCUGAGUACAAUCGAAGAAAAUGAAUAAUAUUAUUAGAGGUUAUUUCUGUACGUGUAUAUAUAUUUUUGUCAUUAGAGAGAACAAUAGAUGAAAUAUAUAUAUAUAUAUAUAAGCUUAGAAUAUUAUUCACAUAGACAUCAUUAUUCGUUACACAUAACUAAGAAAACAAAGCCUUGUCCAUCCAAGGAGGUGCCUUAACUAAUUUACAUACUCAUGGUCCUUAGCCAGAAGGAAAAGAUAAUUCUUCUUAUGCACCGCAAUUCCGGGCAGAACGUCAAAGUCCAAGUCUUGGUUCUUCAUUCCAGGCGGCAUUUCCCAAUCAAAUUUGUAAAGAAGAUUGGCAAGUGCAAGUUCCACAUUUGCAGUUCCCAAAUGCAUUCCAGGACAGAUUCUUCUGCCGGCACCAAAUGGUAUAAGCUCAAAGUUUUGCCCUUUAAAGUCAAUAGAACGAUCAAUAAAUCUCUCAGGAUUAAAUUCCUCAGGAUUUUCCCAAGCUUCGGGAUCUCUUCCUAUCGCCCAUGCAUUUACGUAAACGAGUGUUUUAGCUGGAAUUUCAUACCCGUCUAUUGUGCACUUUUCGAUUGUUUCUUUGGGGACUAGUAAGGGAACUGGCGGUUGCAAUCUCAUAGUCUCUUUCACUACAGCUUUUUGAUAAUGUAGUUCUUGAACAUCAUCUUCAUCUACAAAGCUUUUUUUGCCGCCAACCAAAGAUCUAAUUUCUUCUUGAACCUUUUUCAUUACUCUAGGAUGCUUCAUUAGGUAGGUCAUGACCCAAACCAGAGUCGCAGCGCUCGUAUCUGUUCCAGCAACGAAUAUGUUCUGCAAAGCAAACAACAUAUAUAUUUGUGUGUGUGUAUAAAUAUGUAUAUGUAUAUAUAUAAAUUAUUUAAAGCAACAAAAUUAUAUUAGAUUAGUUAUACAGGUAACUAUUUAUAAUAGACUUUUUGUUAAUUACGUACCAUGAGCACUGCUUUGAUGUGAUCCAAAGUUAGGUCAACUUUGAAUCCAUGAUCUUUUCGAAUUUGAAGUAAAACAUCAACUAAAUCCUCCUGCCGCACCUUUGCUUUUGUUCUUUUUGGAUCUAAAUGCUCGUCGAUGAGUUCUUGAUAGAAUCUAUCAGAUUCUUGGAAGUUAUUUUCCAGGCGACGAAUCAUUCCUGUGAGUUUAUCAAUCCAGCCCAUAAAAGGAAAAUAAUCCGUAACGAAAAAGCCUAUAGACAAGGCUUGAAUUUCAUUAAGCAGUGUAUGGAAUCUGCUUCUUUCAGUUAUUGUUUCACUUUCAUCACCAGACCUCUUGCCAAAACCAAGUCUACAAAUGAUAUUGCAAGAAAGAGACAUCAUUAUCUCACUUAAGUUGACUUGUUUAGAAGCAGCAGCUGAUUUUGAUAUGGAUUCAAUCAUUCUUGAAACUUCAUCUUCUCUAAUAGGUCGAAAAUUUUGUGCUCUAUUAGAGUUAAAGAGAUGAAUGACACAUAUUUUUCUAAUCUCUCUCCAAUACUCACCAUAGGGUGAAAAUACCACGUCCAAGCCAUUAUAAGAUAGCUUUUGUGUCGCUACCAGAGCUGGCCUACUAGAGAAUUGAAGAUCAUGGCUUUUUAAAGUCUCUUUAGCCAUUUUUGCUGAGGAAACAACUAGGGUUGGCACAAAACCCAGACGCAAUGACAUGAGAGGGCCAUAUUUUUUAGAUAGUUCCCAAAAUGACACAUGAGGCUUCGAGACGUCAAACUGGUGUAAGUUACCUAUAAAGGGAAGACCCUGGGGGCCUGGUGGUAAUUUAAUCUUUUUCUGAUGAUAAGUGUUUACGGAAAACAAGAAGAGGCAGAUUGGGAGAGAAAGAAGGAUGAUGAUGACAAGUAAAUCCAUUAUUGCUUAUGCUCCCUACUGCAAUGACUGAACCUCGAUCUAUAAAUAAGGAAACAAAAUGCAGUUUAGUAACAUCAUUAGAGGACUCUCUUUGUAUUUUGUGCUCUUGUCAAGUCCUUAUCUUGUGAUUUUGCUUAAGGAAACAGAUUUGACAACUUUCAUAAAAGUCAACAAUGAUAAAAAUUUCCAUAAUGAAAUUUCGUUUUCAGCAGAUCAUGUAUACCAAUUCUUGCGAGUUUUGUAGAACGAAACUUAUCAGAAUCCUAGGUGUGAUAACGUUGGUAAAAAGUCAGCAACAAUCAAAAUUUCAAUAAUAAAAUUUCUUUUUUAGCUAUUUACCAAUUCUUGUGAGUUCUACAAAACGAAAAAGAUUCGAUAACUUUGAUUAUAAGUCAACAAGAAUUGAUUAAAUGGCUCUACAAAAGAGGUUUAGAUACAUAUCCCGAGAAAAAAAUCUAUGAAAUAGAUAAUUUUAUUGAAAAAACGUUGAUUAGAUUAUUGAGAUUACAACCCUACUUAUGUUAGACUAUAAUCAAUCCUAACCACCUCCCCCUCUCCCCCCCCAACACCACAAACAAAAAAAUCCAAUUAAUUAAAAAAAUAGGUAAUUUAAUUCUUUUUACAAUUUUUUUUUGGACAUACAUGAGUUUCCACGAAAAUUAAUAUAUUCUCUUUUUAUUUCCAUUUUAUUUUUAGGGUUAAAUUGGUAAUUUAUUUUUUUAAUUAAUUUCAAAAAAAGAAAUAUUACUAUAAGAGGGUAAUAUUGUAAAAGCCAAUAAAAAGAAACAAAAAGUAAUGAUGGUGGAAAUGUCCCGAUGUAUUUUUAAAAAUACAUAGACUAAACAAGCACUAACGUCAAAAUAUAAGGAUUAAAGCAGUUUUUACCCUAUAAAAUUAUAUAUAUUUUUAUAAUACUAGAUAGAGAACAAAAAUAAUUGUUUCCCAAUCUCAUCUUGAUCUCAAAUGAAAACUAGUGGUAAAAAGUCACUAUCUUCUACAAUAGUGUCUUUUUUUAAAUUAAAAAAAAAAAGGUAAACCUGGUGAGUACAAGGGAAGCUUUAUUUAUUAAAAAGGUUAGGGGGAUAUAAUAAGCCUUAAUCAUUAUGCAGUGCAUAAUGCUAAUAAAAAAAAUGCGCUAGAGCAUUACAAUAAAAUCAAAGAAAUGCGUGAUAAAGCCAACACACAAAGCUUACAAGAAUUAAUGAAACCUAUAAACAGGGAGACUAUUAUUUUAUAAUACUGCCAUGUCAUAUGGCACAUUAUCCUUUUAUUAGAUCACUAAGGUCAUCCUAUAAAAAUAAUGAUUAAUUUAUUGAGGAAACAGAAACUUCAAGAUUGAUAAAAGAUAGAAAAAUACAAGUUUUUGAAUGUUUGAAAUUUUAUAGACAAAAGUCUCAAUAAAAAAACUAAGAUUUUAUGGUCCUUCUAUACUAAUUCUAAAUAACUUGAAUUUUACAAAAAUUAUUAAAUAAACUUGGAUAUUAUUAUAUAAUAAAAUUCUACUAACAGAAAUAAGGAAACAAAAUAAAUAGUACUCAAAUCCAACUCUUGAGAUAGCAAGCUUCUUCCUUGAGAUCUUAUCAAUUUUUUGACUAAAUUCAUAACUAAGCUAGCUUUCGGAUAUGAAUAGAAGAGUUAGGCUCAUCAAAAGCAAGAUAAUGACAAAGAUUUUUACAAUUUUUCUUUCAUCAAUUUCUUUAAAUUUCAUGAAUGUUUCGUGGUACUAAUGAUGUAAAAGUUCUUCUUAUCCUACUACCACAAUGAAAGCUGUGUUCCAAGUUUUUCAAACUACACCUAUAAUAAAUAAAAUUAAAGAGUCAAGUCAAGGCUUGGGUCACGUAAUCAAGUAAUUUUUAAAUGGUUACGUAAAUUGGUAAUAACUGAUAAACAAUUUUUUUUUUAACUGCCGAUAUUUGUUAUUUACGCAAAUAUAUAUGUUUUGCGCGGCUGAUUUAGGAACCCCUGCAAAGUGGUGGCAAGGAAUCAAUAAUCUAAGUUUCAAAUUUCCGCAGCAAAACACAUUUUCUUUUUUUUUUAAUUGAUUAUAAAUAUAAUCAAUAAUCUACAGAAUACAAGAACGAAACUUCUUCUCUCUCUCUACAACUCUCUUUCUCUACUCGAUGACCUCUGUUAAUUAGUCAUGAUGAUAUUUACAAACACAAGCAUAGAAAAACAACACAAAAAUCAAAGUAAAUGUAGGCACACAAUAAUUGGAGUAUUUGUUUUAAACUUAUUGUCAUGUUUUUCCCUAAAAGAUACAAUAAAGUAACAUUUUUUUAAUAUAAAAUUUAUUUAUUUAUCGUUUAUUUUAAGCAUCCAUUAAAUGACCUAAUAUAUAAAGUAUAUAAUUUAUAUAUUGAGCAUAUAAUGUCAAUAUUAGAAUAUAUAAAUGAUAAUUUUUUUAUGAAUUAAAGAUUGUUCACAGUAAUUAUUAAAAUAGAUAUUUCGUUGUGUAAUUCUAUAUCUUUUCUAUUUUUUUUUAUGAUGAUUUUAUCUUGAUCGCGGAAGUAGAGAUUCCAAGUUAAUUCAAUGCCAAUAUAAUGGUUAUAUAAAUGAUUCCAACAAUGAGACCUAACGAUCAUUUCCUUUGACAUCCUUAUGAAAAAAACCUCUAUUCCAAUCUGAAAUAUUUAAAAGCUAAAGUUUUCAUAAAAUGUACAGUGAGGACCAUUAUCUAAUAAAUCAUGUUCAUACAUACAAAUACAAGCAGAGAAAAACAAAAUAAAUAAAUAAAUGUGAGCACACAAUAGUUGAAGUAUUUAUUUUAAACUUAUUGUUAUGUUAGUCCCUAAAGGCAUGCAAUAAAGUAACAUUUUUUCAAUAUAAUAAAAUUUAUUUAUUCAUUGUUUAUUUUAAACAUACAUUAUAAAUGUGGACCAUUAACGAAUAAGUCAUGUUCAUGCUUACACAAGCAUGGAAAUAAAUAAAUGUGAGCACACAAUAAUUGGAGUAUUUAUUUUAAAUUUAUUGUUGUGUUGUCCCUAAAAGCAUGCAAUAAAAUAAUAUUUUUUAUUAUAAUAAUAUUUAUUUAUUCAUUAUUUAUUUUGAACAAACAUUAUUAGACCUAAUUUAUAAAGUAUGUAAUUUAUUUAUUGAGCAUAUAUUGUCAAUCUUGUAAGAUAUAAAUCACAAGUUCUUUAUGAAUAAAACAUUGUUCACAUGUCAUUAAUGAAAUGGACAUUUCAUCAUUUACGUAAUUUUGUAUCUUUUCUAUUUCUCUAGUGCCUAAUUUAUCUUGCUCACUGAAGUGAAGAUUUAAAGUAGAAAAGUUAGUUUGUUGUCAAUAUAAUGGUCAUAUAUAUGAUGCCAACAAUGAAACUUAACAAUCAUUCCCUUUAGCAUCCUUAUAGAAAACCUCAAUAAUAAACUGAAAGAUCUAGAAACUCAAGUGUUCAUAAAAUAUGGAGUGAGGACCAUUAACGAAUAAGUCGUGUUCACACUUACCAACUCAAGCAUAGAAGCACAAGCACAAAUAUUGAAAUAAAUGUGAGCACAGAUUAGAGAUCUAUGAGGACUUCUCUUUAAUAUCUGUAACCGCUGCUUGAAAUCGCUUUAGCGCUGCAACUAUUUGCUACUUUCUUGAAAUCCCAUCUUCAGUGGCACAUCAAUCUUCAAACCCGACUAAUCAUUGCAUCAUUUCAAACCAACUUAUGUAACCAAGAAGAGGAAGAUCAAUUCAAACCCGCUAACUAAUAUUAUGUUUGUGUCGAAUUGACAGGUCUUGUCACAAAUUUUCACCCGACAAGCUAGGGGCCUAUUUGAUAUAAGUAAAUAAAAUCUUUCUUUCCACAAGAAAUUGGGGUAAAAUCGAUUAUCCCGAUGUUAUUACCCCAAUUUAUAAAUCUUGAUUUUCAUAUUAAACCAUUCAAAGUACAUUUAAAAAAUAAAAUAAAGUAAAAUAAAACCAUACAUAGUACAAAAAGGAGGGAGAGUUUAUUGUUUAUUAUUAUUUUUGAAAUAAUUUAUUGAAGCCCACCUGCUUCUUUCUUUGUCAAGGAUUAGUUUAUUAUUUUGGGAUAAAUACUCAUGUAAUCCAUAUAUUUUGAGCUAAGUAUAUACAAAAAAUGUUUUAAGACAUCUUUACUGUUAAAUAUAUUUCACUUAUAUCUUUACUCUCUUUUAUUUUACAAUAAUAUCCUUAGAACAGUGUUAUUGGGGAUAUUAAUGAAAAUAAAAAAGUAAUUUAUCAAAUUAACCUUAAAUGUAAAAUAAGAAUUUGCAUAAAUUUUAUAAUUAUUAUUUUACUUUUAGAAUUAAUUUGGUAAAGUAAUUUUUUAUAAAAUAAUUAUGAAUAAGAUUGUUAUAAGGAUAUCAUACAUUACUUUUAAGUUGGCUAAUAUUAAGUUAUUUUUAAAUAAUUAUUAGUAAGUUUAUUGCACAAGUAUAAAAAAUACUAUUUCUUUGAUCACUACAAGGAAAAUGAAAUUUUAUAAUAAAACUUUUAGUUACUAAAGAUAAAAAAUUAUUCUCCUUAUAUUCUUUACGAUGCAAAAAUAAAUAUCAUAUGUCAAUCCCAAAAGUACGUCAAUUAGGUUCUAGCGACCAAAAUUAUUUUCAUCAUGUAAAUUGUAUAUUUUUGUGAUUUAACUGUUACCCCAAAUUUAAGUUAAAUGCAUCAUAAAUUGUAUUGAAAUUUGUCAAUUUAGAGGUUUAAAAAUGUCAUCAGUGACUCUAUAUCUUUGUCGUUGAAGUUUACGUAUUGCAACAAUAUAUUAUUGUCUCUAGUUAUUGUAAUUUGUGACAAUCUUUAUAGAUACAUUUCGUAAUUAAUUUAGUCUCAAGUUUGUUUUAAAACCAACGUAUUUUUUUAUUUCGCAACUAAUUACAUUGUAUUGAAAAAGUUUAGGUGACUAAUCUCUCUCAUCAUUAAAAGAAAGCAUUUACGAUUACAAUAUUUAGUCAUAUAAAUUAAAAUCUUAUGACAAAAAAAAUUGUAUCAAAAAAAUGUUAUUCUAUGACUAUUUAUUUGCUGCAAAGUAUUAGAGUAAUAUAAUCUCAUAUGAAUUUAUUUAUUAUUUCACGAUUUUUUAUAUCGUACUAAAAAAGUUCAAGUAAAUAGUUUUGCUCCUUGUGACAAGCCGUUAUUCGCAGCUGGAGCAUGUAGUCAUAAAUCCAACAAUUAAUGACAAAAGAACUUCAAGUGAAAAAUGUUAUUAACAUAAGUAUAAUUCAUCACAAAGAAAUCAAAAAUAUAAAAAGUAUAAAAAUCAAUAAUCUAAAAAUAACAUUCCAUUAUAAAAGAAAAACAAAACUAACAUUACACGGAGGAAAAUCGUUGCUGGUGUCAUGAACGCUUCAACUUCGUUAAGUUUGUUCUUGUUCCUUAGUUUGCUGAGACAUACUGCAGUAAAUGAUGACUUCGAACACUUGUCAUUUGCUUCACAAAAUUAAAGAAUUUUCCCAGAAUUGAAAAGUAAAAUCAUCUCUAACAAAGUUUGAAAAAUUUCUCCAAACUCACUAACUUGGCUUCAAUUUCCUUCACCGAUUAUAUUCUUUGUUUUUCUUCUAUUAGUUUCUCUUAGGUAUUUUAUCAACCAAUUGAUCUGCAUAAAAAUAUUAAAAGAAUGGAACAUAGAAUUUCGAUUCCUAAUUUCGCCAAACACCCAAAAAAAAAAAAAUCUGAAUUUCACUUAAUCUAAUCACAACUCUUAAUCUAAUCACAACUAAAGUAAUCAAAAUUAAAUUAACUGAGUUGAAAAUGCAUACCAUCUUCUCAUUGUUAUCAACCUGCACUUGGUGCAGGUCUGUUAAUCUCUAUAUACACAUAAGCCACUCACAGUCACUUGGUGAAUUUCUCAAAAAGCAAAUAUGGCAGUGAUACUCAAAGACAUUUUCCGAAUAACUGCUUCCAAAUUGGUGACCAAUAAGAUCCAAAUCUUCACAAAAAGAAGUAUCAAAACUGCUACUUCUGAUGUUCAAAUCAUUUCCAUCGAAGCAAUCAAAGCUUCAUCUCCUACACCGAAACAACUCAGAGCCUAUAAACUUUCAUUGCCUGCUCAAUUGUGUUCUAAACUUUACAUGCCCAUUGUUUCCUUCUACUCAGCCAAUUGCAAACACCAAGAUUUCCGGAAAAAUUCCGAUUUGUUGAAGCAAUCUCUCGCAAAAACGUUAACCCAUUGAUAGCUUUUUAGUCGACUGUAAUGAUCAUGGGGCUGCAUUUAUUGAAGCUAAUGUUGGCUGUCAUAUAUCAAAGUUUCUUCAACCGCCAGAUAGGGAGCUGCUACAACAAUUAAUCCCACCUUGUCCCCAAUUAUCGAAUUUAGAGAUUUCUGAAAGAGCACUUUUGGCUGUCCAAGUAAACUUGCUCAGCAGUGGUGAAAUGGCAAUUGGUGUUUUUUUCCGAGUGGAGUGGCCGAUGGUUCAGCAAUCUUCGACUUGAUGAAAACGUGGGGUGCUCGUGGGGUGAUUAAUGAUAAUGAUAAUAUUUGCAAUAACAAUUUAGUUUUAGAUUGCACCUUUGUUUCCACCGGUAAAGUUUUCGCAGCAGUAUCAAAUCCCAAGCCCACAAUCUUCCCGCAAUAUUGUGUUCGAAAGAUUAUUGUUUGAUGGCAAGAAGAUAGCACAUCUAAAGGAGAAGGUGAAUAAAGAAUUAGUGGGUAAUAAUUUUGAUGACGGGUUACAAGCAACGGGUUUCGGGGUUGUUUCAGCACUUACUUGGGGUGCCUUCAUUGCUGUAGCUCGUGAAAGAAAGAGGGAAAUUGAUAAGAAGUUGUAUUAUUAUGCAGUGUAUUAUACUAUGAAUUUGCGUAACAAGAUGAAUCCACCAAUAUUUAGUACAAGAAGUGGUAAAACCAAAGAGAAGGGGAAGAGAUGUGAUGAAUAGUAUUGAGUAUUUAGGUUUCAUUAAGGAUUUGUAUGAAGCAUGGGAAGAUUCAAGGUCAUUUCCUUUAAUAGUGUGGUUGGAUUGCCUUAUUAUGAAGUUGAUUUUGGUUGGGGGAAGCCUGUUUGGUUUAGUCUCGGGCCCUUAUCGUUUCCUGAUCUUGCUAUUUUGACAAACUCAAGUGACGGUGAAGGAAUAGAAUCAUAGGCGGUAAUGUCUAAGGAGGACACGGACAAAUUUGAACCAGAAACUAGCAUCAUGGCUUAUGCUUCCCCUAACCCCAGCAUAUUUAUAAGGAAAUAGGCAGCUAAUUGUCUUUCUCUUGCUUUGAAUAAAAAGAAUUGUCUUCUAAUUAGAAUAAUAAUAUGCUUACAAAAUUGAGAUUAUUGUACAAUGACUGUAUCUUAUUAUUAUCAUACUUCUUUUUAAAUAAAAUCAUGUUAUGUAUGCACACUUUUGAUCAAUGAAAAACCAACAGUCAUAUGAUAUACGGGGAAGACUGGAGGAGGAGAAGAAAAGGUGAAAAAAAAAAUGUACAUAAUGCCUUUUGUUUUUAAUCAUAUGUUUUGGUACCAAGGCACAACUAUUGUAUCAUAUUUUGCCAUCAAAUUUUAUUAAAAAAUCCACGUAAAUAGUUGUGUUGGACAAGUAUAUAUAUAUAUAAAAUGUAAGUUAAUUCUGAAUAUGCGAUAUAAAAUGUAUGUGAUGUCGUGUUGUCCGUGUUGCCAAUUAGAGGAAGUUUCAGCGGCCCAGGGAGGGACUUAUUAGGGUUUGGAGAUUUGAAUACAAUUUUGAAGAAGAAGAUCAGACGGAGACAAAAGGAUAGGAUGAAAAGAAAUUGGAGCUCCAUCUUGAAGAGGAGAAAUUGGGCCAUCGACUUCAAAACUUACUGUGAUAUAUGUAAGCUAAAUUGAUUUUAUUGAUCUCUUAUCACGUCUAUGGUAUUGACACACAUAAUAGAAUUUUACGCAUACAGAAUAUCUAAAGUUCUAAACUUUUCAAAAGGCAUUCAAAUGUACAAAUAAGAGAGUGAACUAACUAUAAUUUAAUAAAUAGCCUUUUCUUACUAUUAUAGGCUUUGACUAUACUAAACCCCCGAAAUUUAGUUUAAAAUCUUAUAAUGAUUUAAUAAUAAAAAGAAAAAUGAGUAUACAUUGUUGGGACCAUCUAAGGUCAUGCACGAGACCUUAUUACCAGACAUGAUCUAUUUAUCCAUCAUUUUCCAUUCUGAUUGGCUUUUGAAAAGUCCAAGAGUUUCAUAAUAUUAUCUUUCAAUUUUAGUUUAAAAGGUCCAAGAGUUUCAUAUCAUAAUCUUUCAAGUUUUAAUUUGAAAUCUACCGAUUAUGCUAUCAAAAUAAGUCAACUAAAAAAGUGCCAACAUUUUGAUGGCAUGUUCAAAUCGAACUAUUCUGGUUGAAAGUUUGAUGGUUCAAGCAGCACUCUCAUUGCGUUGUGCAUAUUAAAAAAUUUCUAAGGGAGAAAGAUAAUUAGAUAUGUUUCUCACAUGUACUACUUGGAUCCUAUUAUUUAAUUAUUCAUUACCGUCCUAAUGUUAUAACUGAGGAAAGAGGAUAGCAACACCCUCUUAGAUUGAAGAAAUGGUCACCGAGACCCUCUUCUUUUCAUAAAUGAUUAUGCAGAUCCAUUUUUAAGAUAUAUGCACUAUUUAGAAAUUGUCAUUCAAACCUUUUUUAGACACACAAACUCUUUUCUUUUUUUAUUUUCCUUUUUGGGUCUCUUUUUUUUUUUUUUUUCCUUUUUGGGUUUAAAAUAACCACGGAUUCGCAUAGAAUCUUAAGGUUUGUCAAGAAAGAAAAUUUGUGUGUCCCAAAAGUUAUCUAUGUAACCAUUUCUAAAAAUAUAAGAGUUUAUGUGACUAUUAGACCAAACUAUGAGAGUGUUGAUAUCCUUCUUCCAAAAUUUAAUAAACAAGAAAAAUAAGAUUUUUUAUUCUUUUUGUAUUAUAACCUUAUUGUCACUCAAAUAUAUAAUAUUCAUGGUAUUGAAUUUUAUGUCAUUUUUAUACUGACCUUAGUGUCACUAAAAUAUAAUAUGUAAGUCGAUGAUAUUGCUAUUGAUAUACAGAAGUUAACUAGCAUUGACUUUAAUUUAGUCGUCCCUAGUUUCAAGAGGAUGGCUUUGUCCAUGUUAACAACUCAUAUAUUUUAAGUGAGAGUUUUCAAAUUAAAAAGUUCAAAAGUUGCAUAUGUAAUUAAAAAACACUAGAGUUAUUUAAAAAAUAAUAUAAUAAAGGGUUCCAAACUUAAAAUCAUACAUGAUGAUAAGUUAUUCGCAAUUAAAUCUGCAUAUACAAUCUUUGUCUUUAGACCAACAAGAGUUUAGUCUAUUAGUACAUAGCGUUGUUAGAUAGAAUAAGGCUAUUGCUUGAGAGACUGAAGUGACAAGCAUUGACUUAAAUUCUAGUAAUAAAUCCUAACUAUGUACGUAGCAUUACUCAUAAUUAUGAAUUUCUUUAGUUUAUGUAUUUCAUCAAUUGAUUAUUCCGGGCAAACAAAUUAGUUUAAAAUACUUUAAUUCCUCUUACAAUAGUGAACAUAGUGUGCUUGAUUUUAUCUUUUUACAGCCAAUGCCAUAAAUGGAAUUCUCACUAAAAAAGGUUAGGUACAGAAAGAAGAUAAGCAUUUAAAAUUUAGAUUUUGAAAUAUCUGAAUAUUAGAUAUCAAAAUUAAUUAUCAUUAAUGGCAAUAUAUUAUUAAGCUGUAAUCCGAUGCAAACAACACCAUCUUAUUUUCUAUGAGCCAUGGGACAGAGCAAUGAACUUUGGCCAAAUGAACCAAUCACAUUAUUCCCAAUGAACAAUGUAAAUUAAUUAAAUAAUGUUAUAAAAUGCUAUUUACUUAUAGGUUUUGAAGGAAUGAGAAACCUCACCCUCUAAAUACCGAUCCUUCUUUUGUUAUUACUUGAACUUUUGUGACUGUCAAUGCAAAAUGUAUUAAAAACCGAUCCAGCUAUGCGUAAGAGGCUAAUUAGUCGUAUUCUUAAACUUACCUUGCGAAAUUUAUUUACUCAUUUUUAUUUUACUUGAAUCAAUUUGUAUGGUGUUCUACCAUACCUUCCGACGGAGCAUCGCCGCCAUAUCUUUUUCUCAAAUUUAAUUUAAUGGAGAAAAUCUGAGAAAUGGAAUCUUCAAAUCACAUAUUUAUGAUAUUACACUUUGAAAUUCAAUAUAAAAUCAAAUUCGUUGUCACCUAUUCUCUUCAGAAAGCAAAGAAAAAAUGCUCUUUACUUGCUCCAACUUUUCUCUAGAGUACUCGAAAUUCUAGCAAAAGAUUUACAAAAUAGAUAUGGUAUUACAACUGCUGUCGUUUGCUCUGCCAAAUUUUACAUUUAUCAGUAAGGAUAAGUGUGCAUUACUUAGAGCAAAAAAUACAUUGAUGUUUAAAAAACAUUCCAACGUUGAGAGAAGCAAUCAUUUAUUUGAGUACUCAUAAUACCAUCAACGGAUCAGCGAUUUACCAGACUUACAAGCUACAACCCAUGCUGUGGAAUCCCUCUAUGGGGUUGAUGCUUGGUUUCUUCUACCACGUUUCCUUUCAUGUAGUGACUUUUGUUUAAGCCUAUAGCUCACUACUGAAGUUUUGUAGGGCAAUGGUGCUCGAAUGCUGAAUGAUUCUCUUCAAUGAUGACCAUGCCCUUGGAAACGAUGGGUGGUUGAUGAGACUCCAAUGUUUUGAUUACAAAAGCUGCUCUAAUGGAAGCUUGCAUUGUCAUUUUACUUUUAAGUUGUGAGUUGAGUACUUGGCAGUAGUAUCAACAAGUACUUGUUUUGAAUAAAAGAGUUGUUAAUUGGUUAAUUAUAAUUCUUUUCUCUUGUUUAUCUGUGAUUUUUUUCUUUUAUAAAUUUUGCUCACCUUCUAACUUUUAAAUAAAAUAAAUUAAUUAAUUAACAUUUCACAAACAAAUUAUUCAAGAAUUCCCACUUUCGCAUAAUAUCAAGGGAACUUUAUUUUUUUUCCAAAAAAGGGAACUUUAUUUUUAAUUAACAUAGUAAGAAAUUGAUUUUUUAAAUCCUCUAUCUCACUAGAAUUUAUUCAUGACUGGUCAUUCAAAGAAAAUACUAAAAGAAAAAUAUAAUGACAAAAACAAAAAGAGUUAAUUGGUUAUUUAUUAAAUUGAGACCAAGCCCUUUCUGAAUAGUUAAUUUUGGAUCACUCCCCUCAUAAAUUGAUUAUCUUCAAAUCACCUCAUUUCUUUUGAAAAUCUCAAUUUAUUCUCCUUUUUAUGGUUAAAAAAAAAGGAUCAUCAAUUUAACCCCCUAUUUUUCUUUAUCUUUUGAACAAAAAUAGGAGUAACUUGAGGUUUUGAAAGUAAAUGAGUGAUUUGAAAUAAUUAAUUCACGAGGGGAAUAAUACAAAAUUUAUCCCCUGUGCGAAUGGAUUUAUGUUCGGGGUGGUGAUAUUUCCACCCCACAAAUUUUAUAAACUCAUCCCAUUUUCAAAAAAUUAUUACAGUAAGUUUACAUUAUUUUUAAAAAAAUCAAAUUAAGAAUAAAUUUAAAAAAAUUAAUUAAUUAAAUCCAUACUCAUUUUUUUAGACUAUUUUUCUAUUAUAUUUUAUCAAUAAAGUUAGUUGAUCAUAAAUUAAUAUAGCUAUUUUACCUCAUUGUGAAGGUACCAAAAUAUCUAAAAGUUUACUUCCAAUAAUUUCUUAUACAAUUUUUUUUUUAUAUUUUAAUGAUGUAAUAGUAAUUUAUCUAAUAUUUAUUUAUUUUUUAAAGAUUGUGGUUUUUUAUUAUAUUUGAUAAUAAGGCUGCUUUAACACAAAUUAAUAUGAUUAUUUUUAAAAAUGACAAAUGAAGGCAUAGGCCAGGCUUUUCCUAGCCCAGGCCCAGUCUUGCGUCCAUGUUAUUAAUAAGGGAGCCCCUAUAUUACAAUUAAUGUAACAUACACACUCAAUAACAACCACACAAAUAAUGGACCCACACAAUUUGUGUGGUUGUUGUUGAGUGUGUAUGUUACAUUAAUUGUAACAUAACAUUUGCCUAUUAAUAAUAAGUCCAAACCCUUUAAAAACUAUGAGUAGUUUGGUGGACCGGACUUGAGCCGGGCCUGGCUUCCACAAAUUUUUUAAAAAUAAAUUUUUAAUACAAAAAUGCAAAAACGUCUCAACUAAACAAAAGAUGAAUACACUUCAGCCCUUUUCGAGGUUGAUUUCAUUAGAUUCUUUAAUAACCGUCAUAAAAUGCAAAAGUUUGAUAUCUAUGGACCAAUGUUCGCCGUUCUUUGCCAAAAGAGCAGCCUGAAAAACUCGAUAAUCUACACUGAGUGGGUUCGAGCGGUUGGAGCUGAUUCGCACGGCUUCAAGUGGCUGGGUUCACGUCGAACUGGUGCUGGGUUCAAUGUUGGCUGCUGCUGCUGCUGCAGUGGCUUCGUGAAUCGUGGCGUUGUGCUGGCCGGGUUCGUUGGUGGCUGCUGCUAUGGUGACUUCGCGAGGCUGCUCGGUUCGCGAAUCGCUACUUCGCUGCUGCUGGUGUUGUUCGUGGCUGCUGGAUCCGGUGAUGAUUGGUCGUGUGGGUGCUGCUGCCGUGCUAGUUUUGAUCGGUUGGGUGAUGGCUGCUUGAGAGAUGUGUAGGAAGUGCACACUGCACAACAUUUAAUUUUCGAGAUGUUUCUUUUUUCUUUUUCUUUUUUUCUUUCUUUUGAGAAGAAAUGCAAAUUAUGAAGAAAUUUGUGCUUUUGGCGGCGAGUAUAGAGUUGCAAAUUCAGUAUUCCGAUUAGACAAAUCUCCAUCAAUCUAAAACUCAGACGAUGAUGGCUGCAAUUGUUGCGCGGCUCGUGGGCGUCAGGGAGUGAGGAUGCUUUUGAUUUUGUUAUUUUGUGUUUUCUUUUAUUUUUUUUUUCCAUUUAAAUUUAUAUAUUUUCUGCAAAGGCCCUAAACCAGGCCCAACAUUUAUGGGCUACAUUUUUUGGAGCCCAUAUCUGUGACUUUGUCAUGCGGGCUGAGCUUAAAGUCUGCGGGCUUGGGCUGGGUCAGUCCGGAUUUUUUUGUUAACCUUAAUUAUUUCACCCUUGUAAGAUAAAAGUAUCAAAACAUUUAAACAUUUACUUUAAUUAUUUUGAUAUAGUUUUUUUUAUAUGGAAUGAUGUAUAAUAAUAAUUUAUUAGUAUGAUUAUUAAUAUUUCACUAAAUUAACAAGAUACAAUAAGGACACGUGGAUUAUUGAAAAUGAUUAAAUUAUAUAUUAAAUAUGUUAAAUUAUAAAAUAUAAAACUAAAGUAAUUUGGUUAUUUUAUAUUAUAAGGGCACAAUAGUCAAAUUAUACUUAUUUUAAAGCAACCGUGAAUAGUUAAUGAUUGUUAAAAGACUAGGUCUGGAAAAAAAAAGUAUUAUAAGACUGAUUUAAUUGAUUAAUUUUUCAAACUUAUUAUCAAUUUGUAAUUCUAUAAAAUAAUGUGAAUUUAUUUUAGUUAUUUUAUGGAGGUGAGGUGGAUUUAUAAAAAUGGUGGGGUGGAAAUAUCCACAUCCUUAUAUUUGCAUAUUUUUACUCUUUUUUCCCUUAUUUCACAUCCCACUCGAUGCAUAAACACCAAUUAAAUCCUCUACGGGAUUGAUUUGACCUCUUGUUUUCAGUGCAAUAGCCAAACCAACUCUGCUUAUUCCCUAAAAGAUACAAAAGUUACUUUCUCACUAAUUGUUAUUGUUAUGAUAUUAAAAUAAAAAUAAUUAAUAAUAUAUAAGGCAAGACAAAUGAUGAUUUGCUUUUUGAAAGAAUUCACUUUGUGGGGUGGAAAAUUUUUUUUUUAAUUGUGUUUAUAUUUCAUCCCAAGUUCUGAUGGGUUUUGUCGCUAUGUUUUAGUUUUUCCUUUAGUGAAAUAAAGGAAAAACUAAAGUCUGAUUAUGUUCAUGCCAUAAAUUUGAUUAGUACAAAUGUUACAAACUUCCUCAAAUUCUCUCAAAAUGCAGACAUGGAUUUUUAGACUCAAAAUUGUGAAAAGUAUGUAGAAGUUGAAUGACACUAGGUUUGAAAUUAAAACAUGAUGGAUUAGGAGAAAAAAAUUAUGCAUGAUGUUGCUUCUAUUCUAGUAAGAUUCAUGAAAUCUCUAAGUGUCCUAGGUUGAUCAUGAAUAUUUUGUAGUGCUUGGUUAUCCCCUUGCACUGAAAAGUUAUCAACUUCGUUGUCUAUCAUGUCUAAGGGUAGUGAAGGUGAUCUUCUAAUUAAUCUGUCACCAUUAGUACGAGACCAACAUCUCAUACAAUGCUAAUGAUGUGUGAGUGUGUGUCAAAUUAAGUGAAGACAAUGAUGUACAAUCAAAUGAGUAAUGCAUGAAAUAUGAAAUAAAAAUUGCACAAAAUUAAAAAAUGUAAACAAACUAAAAAUUAAAUAAGCAACAAUAAGAAUCUACAAAAAUAAAAAUAAAAAAUAAAAUGAAAAUUAUUAAAAUAACUCAACAAGCGAUAUUGCAAAACUAAGAAUUUAAAUUAAUUAACUAAACAUAAAAUAAUAACACAUCCACAAAAUAACAAUGUAGGCGGUAUUAUAAAAUCAGUCAUUAAAAAAAUAAAAUUUUUUAAAAAAAGAAAUUAUAACGAGAAAUAGAAGGAUACACUUACCUCAAGAUGUAAAAUUGACUUUUAAAAAUUAUCAACCAAUUAAGCAAUCAAUUUAAAUUUAAUCCUUAAUUAUAUGUUUCAAAGUGGAAAAUCCAAGUCCAUUUAGUCCACAAUCUCUAAAAAGUUCAAGUUCAUUUAGCCCACAAUGUAAUAUACGCACUUGGACUUUCUUAAUAAAGUGCCGAUUUUUAUUUUCCUCUUCUCUAUUAAUUUUUAAUUUCGUCACUAUAGUUUAAUUGGGAUAAAUUGAGCUCGAUUACACGCGUCGAUGGCCGGAUUUUAUUUUUAUCACGGGUCCGAAUUGAGCUUAAUUUGUAUUAAGCUUAAAAAAAAAAAAGGGGGCAGAAAACCCAGUAACCCGCGGAUUAACCCGACGAUUUCUCCCAACUCCAGCCACUUUACCGGCCGUGCUUGGUACCGAUCUGAAGCUUGGAAGCAGACCGUCGUAUCCCUGCUGUUAUCGUCGCCGGAAACUGGCCAGAACGCCGGUGAUCGAGCUCGAAAAGUCGCGGCUUCGACCCGUUUUCGUUGCCGUUGAUCCCGCCGGAGUUGUGACGCGCCACCACUUGGAACUGGUUCCUCACAUCCCCAGCAACAUUUCCCGACCAGCAACGACCGCCGGGGACGCCCGGAACUCGCCGAAUGAUCUCCGAAAAUUUGCGGAACUUUGGAACUUCGAUCCGCCGCCGGUAGCGCGGCCACCACCGUUGGAUUCACCGAGGUCGGAACUAGCAGACCUAAGUUCCCCAUCGUCGUUGACUGAAGUCCGGUCACCGUUGACCGGCGAGGGGCAAUUCGGUAAAUUCAUGGACUUUUGGGGGUGAUUGUGUAAUUUUAUGUAAAUAAUGGACAUUUUGGUAAUGUUGGUUGAGGGCAGUGAAGUAAUUUGUGAUUUUAAGGGUAAUUCGGUGAUUUAACUCGUUAAGGACAUUUCGGUAAUUUUACGAACCGAGGGUAAUUUCGUAAUUUCGGACAAUGUGAUUAAUUUAUGUAAUCUGAAUUGAGGACAAUAUGGGUAUUAACGAAUAUGAGGAUAAUUUGGUAAAAUCAUGAAGUUUGAGGAUAAGUUGGUAAAAUAUUGAUGUUGGGGGUAUUUUGGCAAUUUUGGCCUAUAGGGGCAUUUUGGUAAUUUUAUACAUGCGGGACUAGUUUAUCGUUAAUAGAUAUUUGUUUCGAGAUUUAUUAUAUUAAUUGGUUUUUACGGAGAAUAAUUAUGGUGUUUUCCGUGAUUAGGAGGAUCCGCAUCCGCGAACGAGAAUCUACCCGCGGACGUUGUUGAUACUGAGUCUAGACAUCAUCACUGUGAGUGGAAUAUACAAAACCUAUUUUCAUAGUAUAUGCUGAUUUUCUUAUAUAGUACAGUAUGUUUGAGAAAUAAAUGUUUAAUGCGUUGAUUUAAUGAUUUUCCAGCGAAUUGACUUUUAUUUAUGUGUUGAUAUUUAUUAUGAUUGAGAAUGAGUUCGAUUUAUGAUUUUAUUAGCGUUUUUGAGUAAAAGCAUGAUAUUAGAAUUGAGCAGACUUGAGAUAUGUUGAAUAGAAAGAAAAUGAGAUUUCAGAUGGGAUCAUAUGUUUACUAUUAGUUUUGAAAUCAUUAGACAGUACCUUUCCCUCCAGAUACAGAGAUACAGAUAAAAAGAGAUACAGAUAAGAGAUACAGAUAAGAUGAGAUAGAGGCCUUUG
rnacentral:lncRNA from 1 species